rnacentral:lncRNA from 1 species
GGAAAUGAUUUUUCAGCUAUACAAUGCUACAUGAAAGAACACUGUUACAGAAGAAGAAGCGCUGAUCGAACUGAAUAAACAAGUGAAUGAUGCAUGGAAGGAUGUAAACGAAGUAUUGCUCCAGCCUCCCACAACUGUGCCCAGGCCAAUACUGUUGCUGUGUCUCAAUCUUCUACGAGUAACUGAUGUUAUAUACAAGUACGACGAUGGUUAUACUAAUGGUGGAGUUGUGCUUAAGGAUUAUAUAACUUCUCUGCUCAGGCCCGGAUUUGAAUAGAGGCACAAGAGGCUUGGGACUCAGGGCCCAAAAAUAUUUUUUUAUAGUUGUCUAAAUUUUUUUUUUAAUAGUUUUUUGGCUGUGCAAUCUGACAUGAAUUAAAGACAACUAUCUUAAAACAAAGACAAUUACACGUGAUGAGGGGCCAAACCAUCAAUUACUACUUUAAAUUUGUACCCAUAAAAAAGUUAAAAUAUUAAAUAGAAGCAGCCAAACAGGAAAGAUAUUUGUUGUAUAGAUAGGAUUUAUAAUACAAUUAAGAUUACUAAACCAUCAAAGUUUUGGAAUCCUAUUUGCAUAAUAAGUAUUUUGCAUAAAAAUCCUAUAUAUUUUUGGAUGUUAUAUGCUAUUUUAUAUAUAUAAAAAAAAAUUAGGUGCCAAACUCUGAGAGUUCGACUCAGGCCUCAAAAUCUCAGGUCCGGGCCUGUCUCGAUCUUCUUGUCGAACCUGCUCCAAUGUAGGUUAUAGACCAACACUCGACAUGUUAUCUUCCACGUUAAUUAUGACAAAUAAGGACUCGGUCUUAAACCCUAAGGCUGAGUUAUAACAAAUAAAAGAUCUUUGGUGUUUUAAGGAUUACUGUAUUUCUGCACGGGGCUUUGGUUCAUGUCCUCUCCGUUGUUUUCUCAUUUACGGUUUAAUAAUAUGUACAAGCAUGGGAAUGAGCAUCCCAACUAAGCUGAGUUGAGUGAUCAGUCCUAAACCCUUAGGAUAGUGAAUAGUAAUACUUUUUGCCGGUCUCAAGGCUAUUAAUUUAUUUUGUGCUUGUGAACUUUAAUUACUUGCUUAAGAACUUGUUAUGCCUAUGCGUGAUAAAUGUACAGAUUGAUGACAUGCAUACUUGGCCUAGUUUAGGGCAACUCUGAGAAACUACUACCUUUCUAUCUAGGUUUGACGAUCAGAAUCGAUGAAGCAACUUUCUCAUUGUUUGUCAAACAGUUGUUUGAUGCUGCUCCCCUUUGCCAUGUGAAAUCAGUGGUCUGCCAUUAUUCAAAUCUUGCUUAACUAAGCAAAUUAGAACUUACGUCAAGGAAUCCAAAUGGUUCUACGUACAAAAGUUACACGCCGGAAACCCUUAAUUGAUGAAUACAUGUCGGUGGCGCGUGUUACAGCUGCCAUGCAAAUGCUGGAAACUACAUUCAUUUCUGCCAUAGCCGGUGACAUUGUCACGAAAGCUUCAUUGGAUUGGUUAUUCAGCGACCCUAAAAUUGUAAAGGCUUCGCAGAUCAUUGGGAGAAUCUUGGAUGACAUCCGAAGCCAUAAGGUACAAAUACACAUAUGCAUAUUAUUAGCAUAUAUACUAGCUACUAAUUAAUUAAUUUAUCAUGUAUCCUCAGCAGUGCAGUGCUACAUGAAAUAACACUCUGCAAACAGAAGAAGAAGCAGUGAUCGAACUAUUUAAACUAGUGGAUGACGCCUGGAAGGAUGUAAACGAAGUAUUGCUCCACCGGUCCAGCCCAUCGCUGAUGUCCCUAGGCCACUAUUGUUGGUGAUUUUCAAUCUUUUACGCAUAACUGAUGUGAUAUACAAGUUUGUGGAUGGUUUUACUCAUGGAGUUGUGCUUAAGGAUUAUAUUACUUCUGUGCUUGUUGAACCUGUUCCAAUAUAGGUUAUAAAUCAACAUUCGAUUUAUUCCCCUCCAUUUUAUGACAAAUAAAGACUCGGCCUUAAACCCUAAGGCCGAGUCCUAUUAUGUUUUAAAGAUUAUUGUGUUUCUGUAUCCGGUUUUGGUUUCAUGUCCUCCCUGUUGUUUUCUCAUUUAUUGUUAAUUAUCACUUUGGUCAGGCAAUUACUUCUUUGAUGAACACACACCAUGAUCCAAACACAGGCCAUUUUAUUUAUCAAACGUACUGUGCAUUGAAACCAGUGGCCAAUAUUCAAACACUGGCCAUUUUUUUCCCAUGUUAUGCUAAUCAAUAUUCGAUCACAGACUUCUGUAUUUAUAGUUGAACCAGUAACAGGAUAACAUACAAGUUUCAUAAAAGGAUUAAAUUCAGUGUGCUAUCCAAAACUUUAGGUCACUCAUCAGUUGUGUCCCUCAUUCUUUUUUUUUCUUCACGUGUAGCCUUUUGAACUCUCUAAAUCCAUCAGGCUAAGACAAAAAUUCAAAUUCGAUCCAAACAUGACGUCAGCGUCUUAUGUGGAGGAGAUAGGAUGACCCACAGUUCAACUUCUAAGGGCACAAACGUCAUUCUAACCCUCAUUUUCAUUUUGCUUUGCCUUUUUUUUCUUGUUCUCCUGCACUGUCUCUGGCAGUCCUUCCGCCACCGAAAACGUGGUCGUCAUCGAGCUCAUGCCGCGGGAGCAUAUCUCCUCUUCCCAACCCUCGUUGUCGUCAUCUACCACGUAUGUUAGCAAGAUCAUCGAGGUUCCUGCGUCGCUGCAUCAUUAAUGCCUUGGACAACACCGGUACCUUCGUCGGCGGCGUGUGUUGCUAGAACCUUCUGGAAGGCACCGAUUGGGUCUGACCUUGCCGCCGUCGGAGGAGGGUUGACUAUGUGCAGAUGGCCUUGGAAUCGAAGGGAUGGGUUUGGUGGGGGAGGAGAGUGAGGGUUUGCGGUAGAGGUCUUGGGCCAAGCGAUCGGACUUGGGUAUGACUGCAAGGAUUCCGGAUUUCUGGGGGCGGGUGAAGCUGACGCGGUGGUUGGUGAUGGUGAUUGAAGGAGACAUUGCCGCACUCCACCCACAACUAGCAGCGUACACUAGGUUGAAAUUAGCGUUGCAUAGAGAAUGAGGAUUUUGAUUUUGGGGGUGGUGCCAAUGGAUGUAUUGUGAGAGAGUGGGUGUGAGUUUGGCGAAUUUGGUGAGACUUGAGGGAGAGCUUGGAGGGCUGGCCAUGGGCGGAGGUGCAGAGAUGCACACGAGGGAAGAUAGUGAGAGGUAAUGAAGAAGAAAAAGAGAAAAAGAGAAAAAAAGAUAGAGAAAAAAAAUUAUUGUGAUAAGAGGUAGUUUAGAGUUUUUCUCUAAAUUAAUAAUUAAAAAUUAGACGUGGGUCUUUGUGUCUUCUUCAAAUCGGAUCAUGACGUCAUUCUUGAGCAAAUUUGAAUUUUUUUUUCUGUUUUGAUGGAUUUAGAGAGUUCAAGGUACACGUGAUGAAAAACAAAAGAUGAGGAACACAACUGAUGAGUGACCCAAAGUUCAGGCUACAACACUGAAUUUAAUCCUUCAUAAAACAUACAAGAGUUUCAUGAUCUUAUUGCCUUCUACUUUUAGCCUUUCUGCUGUGAAAUGUCUGAGAGUAGACUGCUAGAGUAAAAGAUUUGCUAGCACAAGCUUAUUGGUGGUCAUGGCAAACAGAAACAAAACAUGCAAAAACAAGAAAGAACUUGACUAAGAGCACAUAUGAAGUUUAACAACAUGGAACUUCUGGAUGGAGGGAUCAAGGGGAGUAUGGUACCGGGAGAAGAUAAAGAGGAGCUUUCUUACACACCGUGAUUCCAUAAACUUCACUCACGUCUAAGGCCUCAACCAAUGCAUUACCACUCGGCAACUUCCAAUCAAACCAAUAUAGAAGGUUGGCAAGAACACAUUCAAGUGAAGCAACCGCAAAGGCCUGCCCCGGGCAUCUUCUUCUACCACCUCCAAAUGGGACAAAUUGGAAGUCCUCGCCUUUGAAGUCGACUGAGUUGCCCUCAAAUCUAUCUGGGAGAAACUCAUCCGGCCUUUCCCAGAACUUAGGGUCCCUUUGGAUUGCAAAUGCAUUGACAAAUACUGUUGUUUUGGCAGGGAUAUGGUAACCUCCCAACUCUACUGCCUCGCUUGUUUCUCGAGGAACUAAAAGAGGUGCUACAGGAUGUAGUCUCAGAGUUUCUUUGAUGACACAUUUCAAGUAGUCCAUUUGAGUUAUGUCAUUCUCAUCUACCCUUCCCUUGUUCCCCACCACACUUCUUAUCUCCUUUUGGACUUUCUCCAUCGUGCUUGGAUUUCUAGCCAGCUCUGUCAUCAACCACUCCAUUGUUGUUGAUGUCGUAACAGUUCCUGCAACGAACAUAUCCUACAACCAAUGUACCAUAGUGAGACCACUUUCAGGCGCCAUGUAUAUCAUGCAGAAUGUGUUGAAUUCGAAUAAACUAGAGAAGUAGAGAGUACUAUCAGAGAGAUACCUGUAGGAUUGCUUUCAGGUUAUCUCGAGUAAGCUCAAACUCGACGGUGGCUUUGUUUUGACGUUGCAGGAGAAUGUCCAAAAAAUCCUUCUUAUCAGGCUCACCUUCUUUCUUAUGUUCUUCAAUCAACUGAUCAAAAAAUCCAUCUAAUUCAGCAAAAAUUGCUUUCAACCGUGCAAUGAAGCCUGAAAGAGUGUCAAUCCAUUUCAAAGAAGGGAAGAAAUCUCCGAAACAGAAUGACAUUAGUUCCACCAUGAACCUUCUUGAUGUCUUUCCAUACCAAUCACCAUCUUCUACGAACUUCUCUCCAAGAAUACACCUAGACAUGAUGUUGCUGGCGGUUGUAAUCAGCAUUUCACUUAGAUUAGUAGGAGACUCACAGAGACAUGUUUUGCGAAUCCUGUUGAUCAAUUCCGAAACUUCUUCUUCCCUUGCAUACUGAAAUUGUUGCACUCUUUUAAGGCUUAGAAGUUCAACAACAGAAAUUUUCCGAAGUUGCUUCCAGAAUUCCCCAUAAGGAGCAAAAGCUAUGUCUUGGCAGCCAUAAAGUAAUAUGUUUGCUGCAGUCGUUUCUGGCCUCCCGGAGAAAACCUCAUCAUGGUUCUGCACGAUUUGCUUGGUCAUCUCCGCAGAUGAAACUACUAGUGUUGGAACUUGGCCCAAGCGCAGCAGCAUUAGAGGGCCAUACGUCUUUGAAAGAGCUUGAAGAGAGCGGUGCGGGAGUUUUCCUAGCUGGUGAAGGUUUCCAAUCACUGGUAACCUUGCCGGGGAUGGCGGCAAAUUGAGCGUCUCACCUGAUUUAGAAAGUGAAAACACAACAAAAAUAGACAGCAAGAGAAGAGAAACCAGGAAAAGAUUUAAGAGUGUAGUACUCCUUUGUAGUUCUUGCACCAAUUGAUUAAACAAUGCCACUAAAGCCAUUGCCAAACUCUUAGCUAUCUCUGCUCACUUCUCUCAAAUGCACUGAUGCUUAAUUUCCUAGCAACUCUAUCAUUGCUAGAACAUAUAUACGUAUAGAGAGUUCUAACUUCCAGCAGCUAUGCUUCUUCCUUAUCAUAUAAUGCAGGAGAUAAUAUAAUAUAAUGCAGGAGCAACAUGGCAUUUUAAUAUAAUGCAGGAGCAACAUGGCAUUUUAGAAAGUAGACAAUGCAAACAAAUGCGAAUCGUUUUUCAUGUUUCUUGAACAAAGUUGACAGCAACAGGCCAACAGCUUUUGCUUAUUUUGAUCGACAUAAGUGUUAUGAUUGGCACCUAAAUUAUCUGUAAAUUCAUUAUAAUUUAGGAUUAAAUUUAGUUUGCCCCCUCGUACUUUAGGUCAAUAAUCAGUUUGGUCUCAUAUCUUUUUUUUUUUUAAUAACGUUAGUCUUUGAAGUUCUAUUUCACAUCAGUUUAGUCUAAUUUUUGAAUUGCCCUCCUUACCAUGACGUCAUGCGCUGAGUUGUCUGCGACACAAUGGCCCAGUUUCUGACUUAAAAGGGCAAAAUAGUCAUUUUAUCAUAUAUUGCCCUCAUCAAUAUAACGAACUCUCCACUCUUCGUUGGAUUGGAGUAUAUAGGGGUCGGAGUCCCAGACCCCGUCUCGAGCUGCGAUGGAGCUCAGCGCUCCCUUCUGUCGUCCGGCCGUCUCUCGGCGUCCCAUCAGUGGCCAGGGCUUCUUCUCGCCGUACUCGACAUCUCUGUUGUGUCAGAUUUCAUGGAGGAGCGCUGUUGAAAGAGAAUUGGAGGAGAGAAGGUGACUGCCUCUCCGAUCGGGUUUCCGAUUCCGGUCAAGGCGGCGAGCGUGACUGGUAUGGAUAGCUUAGUCUCGCCAUCCCCGUUCUGUAUGUGGUCUCGAUUUCUUCAGAGGAGCCUCCAUGACUGAGAAUCAAUUAAUUGAAGCUCAAACAGUUUUCUAAUGAGUUUAUGUGUUUUCCGGCCACCGUCGAAGGCAAUCGAGGUAUGAACCUUGAUCUUUUCUUCGAGUUCUACCUCUGUAUAUAAUUGGAAUUGAGUUUGGUGAUAUUUGGGAGAAUUUGGGUUUUAGGCAGAGGAGGACCGCCAUGAGUGACGCUGUUCACGACGGCGGUGGGGGUUGAAGGAAUUGGUUUUCGGCUUUGUUAGUAAACUGAAUUUGUAUGAGAUAGUCAAUUUUGAUUUUGGGAUGAGAUUGAAGAAGUUGGAGUUCUGGGAUUUUGGUAGUGUUCAAUUAUUAUUGUGCAGGGUGGUUUAAUUAAAAAUGGAGGAGUUGGGAUUUUCUGGGUUUGGUUGAGCUUGACAGUAGCAUUGGAAUAGAGUUAAGUUAUUAUGUUGCUUAAAUUCCAGAAAUUGAGGGAGUUGAAAGAUUGAUGAUGAACUGUAUGUUGUUCUUUUCAUUUUGGUAUAUGAUAAAAUGAUUAUUUUGCCCUUUUAAGUCAGAAACUAGGCCUUUGUGUCGCGGACAACUCAUCGCAUGACAUCAUGGUAAGGAGGGCAAUUCAAAAAUUGGACCAAACUGAUGUGAUAUAGAACUUCAAGGACCAACGUUAUUAAAAAAAAAGAUAUGAGACCAAACUGAUUAUUGACCUAAAGUACGGGGCAAACUGAAUUUAAUCCUAUAAUUUAUGAGUAGGAUACUUGAAGACAAAAGUAUAUAUCGACUGCAUGAAACUCAAGGUUUUCUCCACCGACUUAGCCAACUCUUUCACAUAAUGUGGCUUCUUUUCUACAGUUUUACAUGAAGAAAACAAUACAAUAUCAAAAAUUAUCAAAGGUUCCACAGUCGUCAGGAUUUUAAAAAACUUUUGAAACUAGCAUACCUAAAUAGUUUCGCAAACAAUACAAUCUCGAUAAGUCUUUGCUUAUAUAUUUUUGGGCUGAAAACUAAUGAAACGAUCGAACUGGUUUGAGUAUCCUAUGAGAUUAUGGCAUUCGAACAAAACGUAGUAGUAUACUAGUGUUAGCAAAGGUUCAACAUACUAGUAGUCGUAGUACUUACGAACGAGAUGGGAAGUACCCAAACAGACCCUUUCUUCGACUGGGCUCAUCGAUCUGCCUUGGACUAACCAAUUCCGACGAUCGGUCAUUGAUCUUUCGCUAAAACGAAAACGUUCAAUGUCGCACAUAUUCUUCUUUCAAUUCAUUACCUUCUGGGCGUCCUUAGCAGUUCCAUUGACGAAUACCUUCUGUUUUCUCCAUAAUCCCUAUAACUCUCCAAGUUUGGGCCUUUCUGUUUUGUUUUGGGCUCUAUCCCUUGAGAUAUAUGCUCUUUUGGGCUAAGCCUUUCUUGAAGUUGAAACUUGAAACUAGGGCACCAACUUCUCCGUCACUAAAUGGAGUUGUCCACUCUGCUCUGGCCUUGUGGAAUAGUCAAUUGUACAGAUCAUGUACGUUCUGCUUUUCCUCCAAGUCUCCAGGUACUGCCUAUGUUCUCUGUUCCUUAUUCCCAUAGGCCAGGAGUCUCUGUUAGCAGGCAUUGUUAAAAUGGGCAGUAGGUGCACCACUUCGAGGAGCAGUGAAUCGUGAUAAUCAAGUGAUUUUCGGAUCCCUUAGUUCGACCGAGCAAGAUCUUGUAUAAUCUUUCUGAUCAAUUUUUUUUACCUAAUUCCCUUGAAAAGAAAAGAAAAAAAAAGGGUUAUGUUAAUAAUAUAGAUGUGUAUAUCAAAUUGUGUUUUGGGGGCUUUAAACAGUAUGUUUUGGGAUUUCCACAAUCAUACUGGUUGAAAAAUGGCAUGACAUCAAUUAAAAGCCAUUAUUUUCGAAACCAAUCAUGUGGUAACUAAAAUUUAUCAAGGUAAUUUAUCAUGUGGCAUGACUCAUUUUACUAAUUUAAGGUAAUUUUAUGCAUGUUCAACGUUAACACACAUAUGAAAGUUUUUGAAAGUUUUAUAUAAAGUUGUUGCAAAGUCAUUAAAUUCCUUGUGCACUCAAAGAUAUUUUAGAACGCAAGAAUUUUCGAUUGACAGAGACAUGCGCUAGGAUAACAUGGAUUAAUUGAAACAAUGAGAUGUUUGAGUUAGGAAUUCUAUAUAGCAUGGUACGAACUACGACGUAGCCAUAAAUUAAUAGUGCAACAAUUAAUCAGACUUAAGUUCAUCAGUCUGAUAUUGACUGAGAAUAUGUAAAUUGAUUUUCUUCGAUCGAUCUCUGUUGUUUAGAGUACUUUUCCUACCGACACAGUACUAAAAUGAAAUGGAGGAGCACAUGCACAAGAAAAUGAUCGCAGUUUUUGCAAUUGAGUUGACCUAUUUGCAUGAACGUAUUCAAGGCCGGUUCUGGCCCAGUGCACCCAGUGCGAUAGCACUAGUCCCUAAACAAAAUGGGCAUAAACCAAGUCUUAAUUACACUUCAGUUCUCCUAAUCUUUGCCAAAUUCUGCUUCAAUGAAUAAUUAAGUCUGUCUUUUAUGGAUUGGGGUUUAGGAGCCAGUAACAAUAGGAGACUAACGUUUUUAUUAAAAAAUUAGUGGCUCACAUGUUUGCUAUUUGUAGUUUCUCAUUAUUCUUUCUAUUAUAAUAACUUUUUCUUUUGCAUGGAUUAGAAAUUUAGAACAACUCUGUCUUUCACUCUUAAAAAAAAAAAAANNNNNNNNNNNNNNNNNNNNAAUAUUAAGAUUAAGAGUAUAUUAAUAGGUUUAAAACCAACAAAAAAGAUAGUUUUAUUAUAAAAUUUUUAGCAUAAGGGGCACAAUUUUUUUUUCCGCGCACCGAGCCUUUAAUUAUUCAGGACCGGCCCUGAACGUACUCAUGCCUCUCUCUUUCUACAGGGAGAAGUUGAAUAGUGCGGGAUCCAUCAAAACACCAAUAGUCGCCAGUCGCCACUGUAUGUAUGAAAAUUAUGCAUAGAAAAAGGUGCAAAUUGUUGGACUAUGGUGCUUGACUUCUCCGACUGAUGACAACCUGGAUGAUCGUAUCGAGUGAAUAUUGUCAUUUGCUCAGCCCUAGCUAGCUCCACAAUGCAACUUAUUUCUUCUAAGUAUAGUAAAAUCUCAAUACAGACUGGCAAAAUUUAUUAAUUUAACGAGAUAUUAAUUAAUCUGAUAAAUUAAUAAAUUAUUAAUUUAUUGAUUAUUCAAUAACUUAUUAAUUUAUCAAAAUAUUAUUUAGUUUUUUUAAAUAUGACUUUUUUAUUUUUUCAACAAAAAUAAUAUUGUAGUGCAUUGUUCAAUGCAAUGUCUAUAUUCUCGAAUUUGUUAUUAUGUUAUAUUAUUUAAUAUGCUACUUUAUUCGAUGUACAACAUUUUCAACGUAUAAUAAUAUUAGUUCGUAAGUACAAUAUAAUUAGUUCAUUGGAUGAACAUUAGAUAAGCAAAACCAUAUAAUCACACAUCACAUAAAUAAAAAAAACAAAAAUGGUUUCUCACAUCAAAGGAGUAAACAAAAUCGACGAUAACGGAUGAAAUGCGUAAAACAUUGUGCGAGUACAUCAAAGAUAAUCCAUGCAUGUAGCACUCAAAAGCAUUUGCAAUAGUACGUUUUAGAAAAGUUCGACUUGCAAGCGAGUCAAAUGACGAUAUCGAAUACGAUCAAGCGAUCAAAAGUGACCUCAAUUUUCAAGAAAAAACAAGUCACAAUUGAGUCAUUCUUUAUUAAGUCUCAUAUUUGUAUUAUUUUAUAAAUUUAGCACUCGACUAUUGGAACCGGCAAAAAUUAUUAUUAUUUACAACUAAGUCUCCUCACAUAGUCACAUAAUGAUCGGUUUGUUAGCAAGCUGUACCGCCUGUACGUAUCAGUGUAUCACUAUAAAUAUCAAGGCACCGCGAUAGUUCAACUCACACCAGCAAGCUAGCUCUCCCUUAGUUGUUUAACUAUAUCAGAGUCUCAGCUUUUAUUUGUCGAGUGCGUGCUUCCCUAGCUAUAAUGGAUCCUCAGUUGGUUUCAGCAUCUCAAGCUCAAACCCAAAAUGGCAGUAGCACUCCAGAUGUUGAACGACGUUCAGCUAAUUUUUCUCCCAGCGUUUGGGGGGAUUAUUUUCUGAAAUAUGCAUCUGUGGUAUAUGGUUAUUUUUAAAGUAAUUAAUUUGCAGCACCAUACAUGCACACAUGAGUGUCAUAAUUAUCUUACCCUCUUCAAAAUUUGCAUCCAUGUAGGAAACUGAUGAUAUUGAAGCCGACAAAAGUAUCAAAGAACUGAAGGAAGAAGUCAAGGGGGUGCUACGACUUAGUUCUCCACAGAGACUAGACUUGAUUGAUUACAUUCAGCGUUUGGGGGUAGCACACCAUUUUGAGGAUGAGAUUCACCAACUUUUGCAGCAAAUUCACAACCAGUACUCUUCUUCUUAUGAUGAUGAUGACCUUCACACUGUUGCCUUACGUUUUCGGUUGCUUAGGCAACAAGGAUUUAAGGUUUCAUGCGGUGAGAAUCAUAUUUUUCUUUUCCAACUUUUCUAUAUAUAUUUUACAUUGGAUUAUUUCCUCUUAUUUCUUCUCUUGGUUGAUGAUCCUUAAGCAGACAUGUUCAAUAAGUUCAUCGAUGUUGAUGGGAAUCUCAAGGAAUCAAGCGUCGCUGACGUACCAGGACUGCUAAGUUUGUAUGAAGCAGCACAUCUAAGGACAUAUGGAGAUGAUAUCCUAGAUCGAGCAAUGUCCUUCACCACCACUCAUCUUGAGUCUGCAGUGGCAGCACAAGGCCGUUUAAUCCCCCCACUUUCAAAUCAAGUAGCUCGAUCAUGCCUUAUAUCAACCACUCUGGAUGGGAAACCCUAGGAUAGAAGCUAGGCAUUACCUCUCUAGCUACCAGGAACUAAACAGUGCUCCACAUUUUAGCCAAAGUCUCUUGACUUUUGCGAAGUUGGAUUUCAAUCAAUUGCAGCGUAUCCAUCAGAAAGAACUAAGUGAAAUCACAAGGUCAGAGUGAUCGAUCAGCUCCCAUUACUCCAUCAAUAUAUAUACCGAAAAUUGGUGCUAAUUUAAUUAUAUGGAUCUAUGCACGUAUACUAAUAGGUAUUAUUUUCUACUUUAGCUGGUGGAAGGAGUUAGACUUUGUAAACAAACUACCUUUUGCAAGGAACCGAAUAGUAGAGGCUUACUUUUGGUCUUUGGGAGUCUGCUUUGAACCCAAGUAUCGUCUUCCGAGGGAAACAAUAUGCAAAGCUCUUGGCUUACUUACCAUGAUUGAUGACACUUUCGAUACGUAUGGCAAAUUUGAUGAACUAGAGCUCUUUGCUGAAGCUGUCGAGAGGUACUUAUAAAUUAAAACCAAUACUAGUAGCUGCAUGCCCAUUUCUUUUGUUUUUCAGUCAUAUAUUAACCUCUUUUAUUUCAUAAGAAUAUUGCGACAUGCUUGGUUGACACGCAUCUAUAUAUGUUGUUUUUGAUUAUCAAUCAGGUGGGAUCUCUCUGCCAUGGAUUCACUGCCUGACUAUAUGAAAAUUAUCUAUGAGGCAGUGCUGAAUACCUACACUGAGAUUGAAGCCGAGCUUGCCAAGGAGGGAAACUCGUAUCGCAUUGAAUAUUUAGUAGAAGGAGUAAGUCUCAUUAUCUCUCAAGAGAGCUGACUGAUAAUUUUUUGGGGGAUUUUCAUAUACACCCAAUUUUGAAGAGUGGUUUUAAAUAAAACCCACAUAAUAUUCUUUUCUGCUAUACAUCUAAAAUGUAUCAAUUAUGAUACAUAUUAUGUCCUAUUUUUUCUAAAUUUUACACAAUUGCCACCAUUCAACUAUAACAUAUAAACAUAAUAAAUAAGCUUAAUUGAUGUUUUCUUAAAUACCUUGAUUAUGAGUUUUUCUUUUAACACUAACAUUUUUCAAUCAAUUUGCAUGAAUCAUGCUGUUUUCUUUAUUUUUAUGAAAAAAUAUAGGUGAAAUGAAUACAUUCUAUGAUCUAUACAUAAGGUAAAAUAUAAUAUAAAUAAGAUAUCUGAUUAUUAGAGUAAAAAGAAGAAAUUUUAUAGUGUUACCGUAAGCCCUAAGCCCUAAACCCUAUACCCUAAACCCUAAACCCUAAACCCUAUACCCUAUACUCUAAACCUAUACCCUAACCCUAUACCCUAAACCCUAUUAACUUAACCUUAUACCCUAAACCCAAUUUUGGGUUUCUUCUUUUUAGGUAUAUUAUCAUAUCAUGUCUUACUUAAUAGGUACAUUAGAAAUGUAAAUGUUAUUUCGAUCAGGAUGAAAAAUGAUAUAAUAAUAUACCUAAAAGGAAGAAAAAUUAAUCAAAGAACAAGAACAUGUACCUUACAAUUAGACAUUUUUCGACUAUGUAGAGAGACAUCAAAUGUGAUCUUAAGAAUGAAAAGAAUCAUUCUAUUACAAAUGACAUACUUCUAUAUAUAACAUAUAUAUACACUCAAGUUAGUAAUAACAAGGUAAGAAAUUAAAGAAUGUAAUUGAUUAUGAUAAAGUUAAAUUCAACUAAAUUUUAGCUCAAUAUUUGAGUUUCAAAUUGAUGCUAAAAUUGAGAAAGAUACCAAAUUUAGCUUUAUAUUGUCUGAAGGGCAAAUCAGAGAAACUAAAAAAUGAAGAAAACUAUUAAUUAUAGACAUAUGCUCUAUAUAGUAAGUUUACUUAUGUGGAGUGGGUGUAAAAAUAAAAAAAAAAAAAUGUAUGGGUUUAUCUUAAAAGAGGUCUAGUAUUUUGGAUUUUUAUCUAAUUUUCUCUAAUUUUUUAUGGUUCAAUUUCAACAUAUUCGUUUUUCAUCUGCCUCUAUAAACUUCAGUACGUAGAGCAAUGACAGAAUGAUUAUGUAUUUUGUUCUCUGAUGAUCAGAUGCAAUGUCAAGUUAGAGCUUACUUGAAGGAAGCCAAAUGGUACCACCUAAAGUGCACACCGAAAACCUAUGAUGAAUACAUGAGGGUGGGACUUAUUACAUCCGGCAUGUUUUUGGUAGAAGCAGCAGUCAUUGUUCCAUUAGCCGGUGAAAUUUCGACAAGAGAUUCCUUGGAAUCGUUGUUCAGAGACCCUAACAACAAAAUUGUAUAUGCUUCAAACAUACUUGGGAGACUUCUGAAUGACAUCCGAAGCCACAAGGUACAAAUACAUGCAUAUAUAGUACUGAAUAAGAGUAAUAAACCUUGACCAACUUUGUUAUGGAAGUUUGUAAUUUGUUUCUGAUCGAGUAUUAUACAUAUGUGCAGCAUGAGCAAAAGAGAGGAAAUGAUUUUUCAGCUAUACAAUGCUACAUGAAAGAACACUGUGUUACAGAAGAAGAAGCGCUGAUCGAACUGAAUAAACAAGUGAAUGAUGCAUGGAAGGAUGUAAACGAAGUAUUGCUCCAGCCUCCCACAACUGUGCCCAGGCCAAUACUGUUGCUGUGUCUCAAUCUUCUACGAGUAACUGAUGUUAUAUACAAGAACGACGAUGGUUAUACUAAUGGUGGAGUUGUGCUUAAGGAUUAUAUAACUUCUCUGCUUGUCGAACGUGCUCCAAUGUAGGUUAUCAUCAAUCAACAUUCGACAUGUUAUCUUCCACGCGUUAUGACAAAUAAAGACUCGGUCUAAACCCUAAGGCUGGGUUAUUACAAAUAAAAGAUUUUAUGCUCUUUAUGGAUUAUUGUAUUUCUGCACGGGGCUUUGGUUCAUGUCCUCCCCGUUGUUUUCUCAGUCAUAAACCUCUUCUACAGUAAUAUAUUUUGCCGGUGUCAAGGUAUUAAUUUAUUUUGUUUGUGAACUUUACUUUCUUAAGAACUUGUACGUUAUGCCAAUAAAAGAUUAAAAGUAUAGAUUGAUGACAUGCAUACUUGGCCUAGUUUAGGGCAGCUCUGAGGAACUACUACCUAUCUGUGUUUGAUGAUCAGAUUCGAUGAAGCAACUUUCUCAUUGUUUGUCGAACAGUUGUUUGAGAUUCUGCUCCCGUUUGCCAAGUGAAAUCAGUGGCCGGCCAUUAUUAUUCAAAUCUUGCUUAACUAAAAUGGCAUGCAUGACAUCAUUUGAAAGCCGUAUUUUUGAAACCAAUCAUGUACGCGGUAAACUGGUAACUAAAAUUUAUCAAGGGCUCAUGGACUAAAAUUACUACUUAUUUUUUUAUUAAUUUAUGGUAAUUGUAUGCAUGUCAUACAUUAACACGUUGUAGAAUUUUUAAACAUUUUGUAUAAAGUUGUAAAUUCAUCGUAUUACUUACACACCGAGUAUCAAAGAUAUUUUAAAACAAACAAAUUGAUGACAUAUUAAUUUUCUUUGACGAAUACACUAUAUUGGUAAAAUGAUUGACAAAUACAUUAGGAUAACGUGGAUUGCAAUACUUGAGCAAACAUGAGAUGUUUGAGUUUAGGGUUUCUCUUAUAGCAUGGUACGUAGCUAUAUAUAUAAAGGCGUACCUACAUACAGGUUACGGUAGGCCAGAUUUUGAGAAAACAUUGUUUUGUUGCAUAUUUAUAAUUAAAAAAAAUUUGAAUUAUGAAAACUAGCCCACCCCAAAUUUCUUUAUGUAAUUGAACUUAGUCCAUAUGAUUUUUUUUUAUCUGAUUACAUAUAUAUUGUUUAUUUUAUUAAAAGCAGUUGCUCGUUUAGUAUAUUUUAUGUCAACUUUCUUCUCUUUAUUUCUUUUUCUUUGUCGUUGUAUACGUCUCCAUUCUCUUCUGCCGAAGCAGCUAAGCCAAGUGUUAAGUUUUUUCUCUUUAAUCUGCAGGUAUGAUUCUUAGUUAUAUUGGUUAUCCUCUUGGAGGGUCUUGUACGUGUCAUAUGACCUAGUUCUCAAAUCUCAACUGAUUAAUGUCUUGAUCAAAUUUAGUCCCAAUAUCUCAUCAUCUCAAAUCUCAAUUGAUUAAUGCUUUGAUAGUCUCAAUAUCCCAUCAUCCCAUCGCACUGUAUUUCUAUUGAUAUUCUAAUUCUAAUCUCAAUUGCUUGCUUACUAAUUCUAAGCCACGUGCCAAGCUUUCUCUCUUUAAUCUAUAAGUAUGAUUCUUAGUUAUAUCGGUCAUCCUCUUGGAGUCUUGUAUGUGUCAUAUGACCUAGUUCUCAAAUGUCAAUUGAUUAAUGCCUUGAUCAAAUUUAGUCCCAAUAUCUUAUCAUCUUAAAUCUCAAUUGAUUAAUGCCUUAAUAGUCUCAAUAUCCCGUCAUCCCGUCACACUGUAUUUGUAUUGAUAUUCUAAUUCUAAUCUUAAUUGCUUGCUUACUUUAUUAUAGAUGACUAAUGCUAAUGAUAUGUGUGUGUGUGUGUGUGUGUGUGUGUGUGUGUGUAUAGUUGUAAUAAUACCAACGUUUGAUUCAUAGUUAUGAGAUUGUGUUUUUCCGUCCUGUUAGGUUUAAAGAUUAUACACUCGUUUACUGUAUUGUUAGAGCGGUGAUUGUGUGCUUAAUUAUUAGAUUUUACUUCUAUUCAAGAGCGUAUGGUUCAAUUUGAGUAUGUAUGUUCUUUUAUCUUUAGCUUUUGUUAUUUAAUUUCUAUAAAAUGUUAUAAUAUUGAUUGCUUAAUGAUCAGUUAACUACGUGAUUAUUUGAUAUAUUUUUAAUCUAAAAUGUGAUAUGUAAAAUAUAGAAGAAAAAAAAUUAAAAAACUUUAUUUAAAAAAAAAUUUCAGCCCACCCUAACCUAAAAUCCUAGGUCCGUCAUUGCAUAUACAGAGUGCAACAAUGAGACUAGUUCAUUAGUCUGAUAUUGACUGAGAAUACUGAUCUUCUUCUCUCUCUUUAUACAUUUCCUAUCGUGACACCAAAAUGAAAUGGAUGAGCUCAUGCGCAAGAAAAUGAUCGGAGUAGUUAUCGGAAUCAAAACCAAUUUGCAUGAAUUCAUGCCUCGCUCUUACAUGGGUGAAGUUGAAUUAAUAAUCCGGGAUUAUCAAACACCAGACGCCACUACGUACUCGAGAAGGUAUGAAAAUUAUACAUGGAAAUUAAGUUUGAAAUAACAGAUGAAGCAAAACGGAAAACGGUGGAAAUGGUUGGACUUCGUUGCUUUCAUACCUUGACUUCUCGACUGAUGAUGACACCAUGGAUGAUUAUUGUAUCGAGUCGAUAUUGUCAUUUGCUCAUCAGGCGCUCUCAGCCGUAGCUAGCUCCACAAUGCAACUUAUUUCUUGUACGUAUCUACGUACGUACGGCUUGUCCUCACACAACAGUCGCUUUGUUAUCAGUGUAUCACUAUAAAUAUCGAGGCACCGUGGUAGUUUAACUCACACCAGCAAGCUAGCUCUCCCGGCCUUAGUUGUUUAACUACAUCAGAGUCUCAGCUUUCAUUUUUCGAGUGCUUCGAUUCCCCUAGCUAUAAUGGAUCCUCUGUUGGUUUCAGCAUCUCAAGCUCAAACCCAAAAUGGCAGUAGCACUGCAGAUGUUGAACGACGUUCAGCAAAUUUUUCUCCCAGCGUUUGGGGGGAAUAUUUUCUGGCAUAUGCAUCUGUGGUAGGUUAUUUUUGAAGUAAUUAGCAGCAUCAUAUGAAUGUCAUAUUUAUCUUAUUACCCCCUUCAAAAUUUUCAUCUACUGUAGGAAACUGCUGAUAUUCAAGCCGACAAACGUGUCAAAGAACUGAAGGAAGAAGUGAAGAGGGUGCUACUUAGUUCUCCGCCUUCACAGAGAUUAGACUUGAUUGAUUACAUUCAGCGCUUGGGGUUGUCACACCAUUUUGAGGAUGAGAUUCACCAAUUUUUGCAGCAAAUUCACAACCAAUACUCAUCUGCUUCUUCAGAUGAUGAUGACCUUCACACUGUUGCUCUACGUUUUCGGCUGCUUAGGCAAGAAGGAUUUAAUAAGGUUUCAUGCGGUGAGAAUCAUUCUUUUUUUCCAACUUUUCUAUAUAUUUAACAAUGGAUUAUUUCCUCUUAUUUCUUCUCUUGGUUGAUGAUCAUUAAGCAGACAUGUUCAACAAGUUCAUCGAUGUUGAUGGGAAUCUUAAGGAAUCAUGCGUCGCUGACGUACCAGGACUGCUAAGUUUGUAUGAAACAGCACAUCUAAGGAAACAUGGAGAAGAUUUCCUAGAUCGAGCAGUGUCCUUCACUACCACUCAUCUUGAGUCUGCAGUAGCAGCACCCGGCCGUUUAAGCCCCCCACUUUCAAAUCAAGUAGCUCAUGCCUUGUAUCAACCACUCUGGAAAGGAAACCCGAGGAUAGAAGCUAGGCAUUACCUCUCUAGCUACCAGGAACUCAACAGUGGUCCACAUUUUAGCCAAAGUCUCUUGACUUUUGCAAAGUUGGAUUUUAAUUUUUUCCAGCGUAUCCAUCAGAAAGAACUAAGUGAAAUCACAAGGUCAAUGAUCAGCUCCCCUUACUCGAUCAAUAUUUACAUACCGAAAAUUAGUGCUAACACAAUUAUACGGAUAUCUAUGCAUGUACUUAUAAAUUGGUAGGUAUUUUCAGGUGGUGGAAGGAGUUGGACUUUGUAAACAAACUACCGUUUGCAAGGGAUCGAAUAGUAGAGUGUUACUUUUGGUCUUUGGGAGUCUGCUUUGAGCCCAAGUAUCGUCUUCCGAGGGAAACAUUAUGCAAAAUUCUUGGCUUACUUACCAUGAUUGAUGACACUUUCGAUACGUAUGGCAAACUUGAUGAACUAGAGCUCUUUACUGAAGCUAUUCAGAGGUAUAAAACCAAUCCUAGUAGCUGCAUGACCAUUUCUUUUGUUUUUCAGUUAUAUAUUAACCUCUUUUAUUUCAUAAGAAUAUUGCGACAUGCUUGGUUGACACGCAUCUAUAUAUGUUGUUUUUGAUUAUCAAUCAGGUGGGAUCUCUCUGCCAUGGAUUCACUGCCUGACUAUAUGAAAAUUAUCUAUGAGGCAGUGCUGAAUGCCUACACUGAGAUUGAAGCCGAGCUUGCCAAGGAGGGAAACUCGUAUCGCAUUGCCUAUUUAGUAGAAGGAGUAAGUCUCAUUAUCUCUCAAGAGAGCUGACUGAUAAUUUUUUAUGGUUCAAUUUCAACACAUUCGGUUUUCAUCUGCCUCUAUAUACUUCAGUACGUAGAGCAAUGACAGAAUGAUUAUGUAUUUUUUUUCUCUGAUGAUCAGACGCAAUGUCUAGUUAGAGCUUACAUGAAGGAAGCCAAAUGGUACCACCUAAAGUGCACACCGAAAACCUAUGAUGAAUACAUGAGGGUGGGACUUAUUACAUCCGGCAUGUUUUUGGUAGAAGCAGCAGUCAUUGUUCCAUUAGCCGGUGAAAUUUCGACAAGAGAUUCCUUGGAAUCGUUGUUCAGAGACCCUAACAACAAAAUUGUAUAUGCUUCAAACAUACUUGGGAGACUUCUGAAUGACAUCCGAAGCCACAAGGUACAAAUACAGCAUAUAUAGUACUGAAUAGGAGUAAUAAACCUUGACCAACUUUGUUAUGGAAGUUUGUAAUUUGUUUCUGAGUAUUACACAUAUGUGCAGCAUGCGCAAAAGAGAGGAAAUGAUUUUUCAGCUAUACAAUGCUACAUGAAAGAACACUAUGUUACAGAAGAAGAAGCGCUGAUCGAACUGAAUAAACAAGUGAAUGACGCAUGGAAGGAUGUAAACGAAGUAUUGCUCCAGCCUCCCACGACUGUGCCCAGGCCAAUACUGUUGCUGUGUCUCAAUCUUCUACGAGUAACUGAUGUUAUAUACAAGAACGACGAUGGUUAUACUAAUGGUGGAGUUGUGCUUAAGGAUUAUAUAACUUCUCUGCUUGUCGAACCUGCUCCAAUGUAGGUUAUCAUCAAUCAACAUUCGACAUGUUAUCUUCCACGCGUUAUGACAAAUAAAGACUCGGUCUAAACCCUAAGGCUGGGUUAUUACAAAUAAAAGAUUUUAUGUUCUUUAUGGAUUAUUGUAUUUCUGCACGGGGCUUUGGUUCAUGUCCUCCCCGUUGUUUUCUCAGUCAUAAACCUCUUCUACGUACAGUAAUAUAUUUUGCCGGUGUCAAGGCUAUUAAUUUAUUUUGUUUGUGAACUUUACUUUCUUAAGAACUUGUUAUGCCAAUACAAUAUUAAAAGUAUAGAUUGAUGACAUGCAUACUUGGCCUAGUUUAGGGCAGCUCUGAGGAACUACUACCUAUCUGUGCUUGAUGAUCAGAUUCGAUGAAGCAACUUUCUCAUUGUUUGUCGAACAGUUGUUUGAGAUUCUGCUCCCCUUUGCCAAGUGAAAUCAGUGGCCGGCCAUUAUUAUUCAAAUCAUGCUUAACUAAAAUGGCAUGCAUGACAUCAUUUGAAAGCCGUAUUUUUGAAACCAAUCAUGUACGCGGUAAACUGGUAACUAAAAUUUAUCAAGGGCUCAUGGACUAAAAUUAUGACUACUUAUUUUUUUUUACCAAUUUAAGAUAAUUGUAUGCAUGUCAUACAUUAAUACGCCGUAAAAUUUUUAAAAUUUUUGUAUAAAGUUAUAAAUUCAUCGUAUUACUCACACCGAGUAUCAAAGAUAUUUUAAAACAAACAAAUUGAUGACAUAUUAAUUUUCUUUGACGAAUACACUGUAUUGGUAAAAUGAUUGACAAAUACAUUAGGAUAACUUGGAUUGCAAUACUUGAGCAAACAUGAGAUGUUUGAGUUUAAGGUUUCUCUUAUAGCAUGGUACUAGAUGAUGCCCGCGCGCUGCUGUGGUUUGCAAUGACGGAUAUUAACUACCGUAAUUGCUUUUGUUUGAAUCAAUGUUGCUGUUGUUGGACAAAAUUAUAAACACAAUAAUAUAAAAUGGAUAUUGCACAAUGACAUUGGUCACAAAAAGGAAAUGUAUAGCAUUUUUUGACUUGCAAUUCAUGAUGGUAAACAAAAUGGAAAUGUAUGACAAAAUAGAAAUACACAUGGUGAUGCUAUCGAUAUACAUAACAUAUAAAACAAUAGUACAUAGUAUUGUGUUAUAGACACCAAAAUAACUGGGCACAAAAAAUAGCUACAUCUAUUGUCUCUUUGGAUAGCAAAAUGCUUCCCACUGCCAGGCAACACCGGAUUGUAUCUGCAGUUAGAACCAACUAUGUCUAACUUGUUAGCAUCAAAAGGAUCACAUAUACAAAAACACAUGUUUCUUACUCCUGCUUUGAUUUGACCUUACAUUCGCUUCCUUGAGCUCUGGUAUAUGAACAUUUAAAUUCAGGCAAUGGAUACAAAGCUGUGAAAAGAUAAACAAAACAAAUGCAAAGCAUACCAUUGCAACAUAAACACUGAAAGAAAACAAAUGCAUGGAUAUGGAUAUAAGGGAUGCUUACUUUGAUAUCCCAUUGCUUUCUUCUCCUCUACAAAAAAUGCAUGGAUAUGGAUAUAAGGGAUGCGUACUUUGAUGUCCCAUUGCUUCCUUCUCCUCUACAAAGUGAAGAGGUAUGUGUUAGUUACUGGAUAAAUUUAGUUGUACAUGAAAAUGCCAACAAUCGUUAACAAUACAUGAAUAUCAGAAUGUAAUACAGACCAUCCCAUUUUAAUCAUACUACUGUAAUGUAAAUAGAUACUGAGAUAGAAACGAAAUGCAUAUAUAUGGAUAUAAGCAAUGCUUACUUUGACGUCCCUUUGCUUCCUUCUCCUCUGCAAAGUGAAAUGUUUUCAGUAGGGGAUCAAUUUGAAAGCUCAAGCAAAGAGAUUGAGAGAAUUCAGAGAAUCAAAGAAAAUAUCUUGCAUCUAUUAUCUUGUGUUACACAGAGGAAGAGAGAGACUUCAGCUAUUAUACCUAUAGCUAUUAGAGAGAUACAAUACAACUGUAAAAGGCUUAUAGAUAAACAGUAAAACUAGACUACGUUUUACUGUUUUACAACAAUUACUCUUAACACCCUCCCUCAAGCUGAUGGGAGAGAAGCUACCAUCAGAUUGCAUUAGCAAAGAGCCAAAGAACUGAGCAAUACAGUGACCAAAAAUAUUGGUUUCAACCCGGAUUAAUGAGCGGCAGUGACUGGCAUAGCUGCAUAGGAUAAGAGGCACGCCUACAAUUUAAUGUAGUUUGAUCCGAAGUAGAUAACAGUCGCCAAUUGCCUUGCACCGGUAAAGCUUCAAUUUCCUUAAGCACUUCUUGCUGCCAUUUAGAGAGAACUGGACUGGCAGUGCCAAUAUGCAAGGGAUGAGUUUGACUAGCAUCAAGGAUAUGAGUUGGUUGCUGAGAAGAAUAUGUAUGCCUGUAUAAGCAUUCAGCUGCACUAUGACCUGACUUCAUGCAAAUUUGACACUGCAUAUAAGAUCUAGAGGCAACAACUUGUCAAGGAGCAGAUCUUUGAGAACAUACUUGAGUAGUAUGACACUUGCUAUUGCAUAUUUGACAGGCUUCGGGAGUGUUACUAAUUCCAUUUGAGAAAUCAUUGACUUUGAGACUUCCAACCUUCUUAUUCCUUAACCCACUUGAAGUAUCAUAUAAGCUAGAAGCGCCAACAUGAGUGCUGUUGUGAAUUCUGUAGUUGUUCCACCCACUAUUCUGAUAACAAACUCUAGUUCUUCCUCUUCGGUCAAAACCCUUGCAAGCAUUAACAAUGGAGCUGAAAUACCAAGUUCGCUGACCCACUUGAGUAGAAGGAUGUGCACCAGAUUGUAAGAUAUUUCCAUUGUUAGUAAAGCUCAUUUUAUGUGAAGGGUCACAAUGUUGUUGUGGAGAAUCACUGCAUUGUUGCAAAGGCUCACCAUUUUGCAGAAUAUGACUAGUGUUUGGCUGAGAAAUUGUGCCAUUGCACAGAGCUUCACUUGUUGGAACAACACUUGAACCAAGAGGAUAAUCAAUAGAAUCAAUAUUCCCAACAAUCGAACCAGCAGAUAAAUUGGGAGUAGAUGUCACCAUAUGACCAUUAUUUGACAUAAGAGGUACCCCAAAGUUUCCAUUUUGCAUCAUGGCAUUAACAACAUAUGUAGGAUUCAUAGUAAAACCAGAUGCAACAUGGUUCAUAUUGUUAGGCAGAACAGUAUGCUGAGGUACAUAAGUAACUUGAGUGGUAAGAUGUGUCCCAAGACAUUGGUUCUCAAGAGAUGUCGUCACAGGAGUAGAAACAAGAGAAACAAGAGAACCCGAAUCCGUACCAGAAGAUUGGUUCUCAACAGAUAUAGGCACGGGAGUAGAGUUGACAAAUUGAGUAACAAGUUCUGAAGAGCUGCUGGUAAGAGCAUUGUUGUUUGAAAUAACAGCAGCAAACUCCAUUUCGGAACUAGGUAAAUAGGUAUUAUUCAAAGAAUAAGACUGAACAUUACCUCUGGAAGUAUCACCAAUUGCAGCCAUAGCUGUCUCCAAAGACAAUGAAAUAGACUUCAAAGUUUGUUCAAUCUCAUCUUCACCAAUCAACAAAAGAGACCUUUAAGUCUUUCAUUGAAACAGAGGAGCUCAGUGCUUUGAUUCUUAUAACAGUUUUUAUGGUAGCAAACUCUGAAGGCAAACCAUUAAGAACUGAGACUACAAUAUCUUCAUCAUCCAUAUAAACUCCCAUUGUAGCAAGUUGAUCACAUAUUGACUUCACUCUAAACAAGUACCUGUCAAUAGAGUCUGAGCCUUUUUUGAUGUUGUUUAAGGAGUUUUUGAGAUUCAUUAUGUUAUACCUUGAAUCAUCAACAUAUUUCUCCUUAAGCCGACACCAAAUUUUCUCAGAAAACUUGCUUCCAAUAAUGAAGGAGAGAGCAUCAUUGGACAAAGUAGCAGCAAGUAUAGACAUAAUGGCAGAGUCAUUUUGCAUCCAAUUCAUGUACUCUGUCAUAUCAGUGGCAACCUCAUUUUCUUCCAUAUUCAGGUACUCUGGAGGACAAGGGAAUGAUCUGUCGAUAUAUCUCAUCAAGCCACAACCCUUUAACAAUGUUUCUACUAAAAACUUCCAUGUGACAUAGUUAGAUUUGUCUAAGCGGAUAGGAAUGAGAUUGCAAAAAUUGGAAAGCAGACACUUGCUUAACUCAACACUGUUAUCCAUGAUGGCAGGCAACACAGAAUAAUGUCUUGACUGAGUGAAAUGCCAACACAACUCAACUAUCACCACUAUAGAACUCCAAUGAGUAACUUAUGAACAACACUGUGCUCCAGCAAUGUCUAGCUUUAUGCAAUUUCUUUCGAAAUACUACCAAUGCAUUUCAGUUCACUGGUUCCAUAAGAUCAAGUAGAUGAUAAGAAGCCAAUGACAAGGACUGCACGGUGACAAAGCUCUUCCAAAAAUAUGUAGUAUGCCUAACUUGUAACAAAUGUCUAAGCAACUUGAAGCAGCAAAUUCGAAUCUUCACUAUAGCCAAAACUUCUUGCAAACAGAGUGCUUCAAUAAUCAACAAAUCCUAUUGCAUGAAUCUAAGAAAAAGUUCAAUUGUAGCUUGUUUCACCAAUCUUUCAUCGUUCAACAACUAGAAGAAACACCAAAACAUAACAAAGAGAGAAUUUGGAGUAAAAUCCCCAAAUUCUAAGGUUUCAAUUUCUGGCAUAUAUCAACGAACUUCACACUGUUCCAAUUCAGCAACUAAAACUUGUAGAAAUCUGUAAUCGAACAGAUAUUAUGCAAAUCAAAUACUUCAAUCAAACUAUGAAUCUAGCUUUCUUCUUCUUCAAAAUUCUAGAAAACUUAUCUGGGAGAUGAAUCUUAUCUGGAGAUGAAUCGAACACCGAAGCAAGCAAGAACAACAAGUAUGAAUAUCGAUGAAGAGUGAAACUCUAGGUCGCCGGCGAAAAUCUUCGAUCCCGAUCGAACCUGGCUCUUGAUACCAUGAAAGCUCUUGAAUACCAGAAUGUAAUGAAAGAUCAUUCCAUUUAAAAGAGGAGCAUAGUUACUGUUCUCUGAUAAGUAUUCUGAGUAACACAUGCAUUGAACACACAACACAUAUAUGUAUAUAUAAUGAUAUAUAUAUAUAUGUAUAUAUUCACACAUGCAAUAUGGUAAUACCUUUUCUGCUUCUUUAUUUCAAUGUUCAAAAGCUCCUUAAGUGUUAAUUCUUUUCGGGGCUGCAUAGUUCUUUUUGCUGGAGUACUUGGCUCUGCUACUGUGUCAUGGACAGUGAAUAAAAUAGAUAUGCAUUGAUAAAGGUGAAACACCUUUACAAUGAAUUAAGGUAUGAUAUGUGAAACAUGGGAAAAAAAAAAAGUUUAAGCAGAAUGACAAAUACAAAGAGAUUUGGCAAAUGAAUUACAUGCACUUAUACAUUUCAUAAAUAAGAGUCAAAAAUACAGUGAACAUGUAAUUUUAAAAAUUUCAAAGGUGGGAAAUAGUGUUUAUUCAAGUAGCUGACAUUGGAUGCCCAAUCUGCUCUCCAUGGUGUCCACAACAAAGUUUUCUAGAAUUAUGAUCGAACCUAAAGGUCUUGCUACAGGUGGGGCAAGCUAGAUAAUACCAAUCCUCUCGAAUGAUAAAUUUUGUAAUCUUGCCUUACAAGUGAAGAUAAGACUCCUGUAGCAAGGUCAUCAGCAUAAAUUCAAAAACAUUAACUUGUAAUUCAAAACAUUUAAACCCAAACAUUAACAGCAGUUAGACAUUAAAUAAAAGUAUUAACAGGAGAUCGUCGCAACUGGUAUCAAAAUUGCUUUGGAUAAAGGAUCAAAUAAGGAAGGCCUGCAACUACCAUAUCAAUAAUAAUGAAAUAUAAAACAUGAGUGCCAGCUUGAGAAAGGAAACAUAUUGCAAUGUAUUGAUAAGUGUUAUGUUUCAUGAAAAAGUUAAUGAGCUACUUAGUUGCAUCCACACAAAAAAAAAGAUGGUUUUUUCCUUAUAUUUUGCAUAUGCUUCUUUUAUGAAAUCUGAUAACAUAAUUUUCAAGUGUUUUCAUUUUUGUUCAACCUAUUGAUAAUCAGUGUGUAAAUACUACCAUCAAGAAUGGACAACAAAUGUUUUAAAACUGAUUGAGAGAUUAUGUAGAUGAACUUGUAUAAGCCAAGCACCGGUCAACCACAGUUCAAAAAUAGGAAACAUAAAAGUACUUGUGAAUCAUAGACAACAUAUCAUAUUUAAUCAAAUUAUUUUACCUUGUCUUUCUUUCCAGCUUGCAUGUUCAAGGCACUAACAGUGAUCAUAUUCUGAUCUUGAAGAUCAGGAGCAGGUUGAUGACGUGCAGAUGAUAUUGUAAUUAUCUUUGGGGUGAGAAAAGGUUUGUUGACGCUGCAAAAGCAAACAAAAUAGCUUCAAUUGCUUUCAUAAGUUGAAACAAUAAACCUUAUGUUGUUCAACCUAUAAGAGCUUACCUUGCCCUAUAUACACAUAUUUCAGGAAUGGGUGGAUUGAUGAACGUACAUGUACUCAUCCCAGUAACGAAAUAUUGAAAGCACCAAAAACAGUUAAUAGCCAUUAUACAGUAACAACAUGUAGCAGGACAAAAUAACUCUCAUACCAAAGUGCCGGUGUUUUGUGCUUGUGAUGGCCAUCACAACUGGAGGUGUGGCAAAUUCUUAUUGUCUCAACAUCAAAUUCAGCUGCAAGUGUUCCCCACAAAGUGACUUUCAAAUUCAGCUGCAAGUGUUCCCCACGAUGUGUUGAAGGACGUGUUGCUUCCGAUGCGGGCGGAGGGUCAGGAGUACAAUGAGCCUCAAGGUUUGGCUCUCUUUGAUUGCUUUGAAAUGUGAAAGUUUGAAUCCAUUAGGAAUAUCACAUUUGUUGCCAGAUUGUGGCGCACUUCAAAUUUGAUAGGUUUCAGUUCAAAGUUUCAUGAAUAGGCACUGAUAUGUGAUGCUUAUGAAUUGGUUUUAUGAGAAGGACCACAUUGAAUUUGGUUAUGCACACCAGGUGCUUGAUGAAAUAUAUGUGAAUGAAUUUUGAUGUUUUUUCUUGAUGAGACCACAGUGGACCUUGAUGUGCUACCGAGGGCUGACAUUCUCAAGUUCUUGAGCAAGGAAUGUGAGGAAAGAGAUCCUACACGCUACAAAGAGAUGCGCAUUAAAGAUGAAACCUUAAGAAAUACAGAAUUCUGCCCAGAUUUUCAGUCAAAUUCGGCGGCAAAUUGCGAGCAGCUCAGAGCGAUCCAAGAACCUUGCCUUAUAUCAACGGAAAGCUAGAAGAGUCUAGUUUCCAGAACUUUUCACGGAUCGUUGAUAGCUAUUUUGUAGAGGAAGUUAUGGCCGUUGGAAGGAGGGAAUGUCAUUCUGCCGAAAACUGGAAAAGGAAGGAGAAAAGUCUAUCAAGCAAGUGUUCAUAUAACUGGCAAUGUAGCCGUUAAAUGUGGAUGAUGAUUUUGGAGGUUAAUUUCGCGGGAACUAGCAGUGCCCACCUGUCAGGUAAGCUUCACUUUCGACAUGAAGCUCUUAAUGUUUGAUUGAAUUUUUGCUUAUUGAUUUGUUCAUAUCUGAAAAUUUAGGAAAUAAGAGAAGCUUAGGGGAGAUUAAUUAAAAAUGAAGAUGACUUCUAUAUUCGUUCACAUGGGAAGUUUGAACAAAUUGCAAAUGAAUUAAAUGAAUCCAUUGUUUCUAUUGAUAUAUAAGGUGAAGCUCUAUGAAACAAUGUUAGAGUUGAAAUCUUAUUCGAUCUAUGAUUUACAACAAGAUUGGUGACAUUUAGCAAAUGAAGAUUUGGACAGGGUUUUAAAGAGUAUAUGUAUUUGGUGUAUAUCACACUUUAAUUAGGGUUUAUAUCCAAAAGAAAGGCAUUGUGUGUGUAUGAAAGUAUUUGUCAUAUUUUGUUUCUUGGCCAUACAUUUUAUUCCCUCUUGCUUGACAUGGAAUUUGGUUUCUGUUUUUUGUUUUUGUUUUUUUUUUUUUGUCCAGAAUUCUACAUUAUAAACUACCAAGCCUCUGAUUUGUGUGAUUGUGAUAACUUACUGCAUCACUUAUAUUGUAAUGGCAGUGGUUCUAACUUAGCUGCAAUUCGAGAGAAGUGGCCAAGAAGUACUGUCGUCCAUCAACUAGAAGCUCACAUUUUGAUAUAUGUUGUUCUAUGUUAAGUUGGUGAGGCUCAUCCCUAUUACACCCUCUACGCAUAUUUGACUCAAGUUGCUGUGAUAUAUAAUCAGUUAGUUCAGAACAAGUUUGUUGGGUUGUUCAAAACAAGCCCUGAUUUGUGUUGUUCAGAACUCACCAAAAGUUGUCCUUAGCUUCUACAAAGAUAGAAUAUGGUGCAAUUGUUGUUCUUGUAUAGAUAAUUUGGUCUACAUUUAAGAGAUCAAGAUUCUCUUUACAUACUUUUCUAUAAGAUAAAUAAGAUUGAUGUCCAGUGAUAAAUCUUUUAUAUAUGUUGCGCUAGUGUUACAUGGAUAGUUACAUAUCAAUUUUAACAGUUACAUCGGAAUGCUGCGCCAUGGUGCAGCGACACGUUGCAAAUAUCACAAAAUAGUCAUGGAAUAUAAAUGGUAGUUACAUGGGUAGUAACAUGGAUAGUUACAUAGAUGCAUAGUUACAUGGAUAGUUACAUGCAUAGUUACAUAGAUGGAUAGUUACAUGCAUAGCUUACAUAGAUAGUUACAUAGAUUAAGAGUGUAAUCUGGAAAACGUAAUAAAGAAAUAAGAGUGUAAUCUUGCUAUGUAACUACGAUGUUAUUACUCAAUUAAGAGUGUAAUCUGGAAAACAUAGUAAAGAAAUAAGACAUUUUCACCUUCAUUCAUAUGAUUUCAGUGGAUACUUGAUACAAUAACAGUAGUUUCCAGACCAAAAAAGAAAGUACAUCCUAGACUAAAGAGGUGCUAACCCCACUUUCUCUGCAUCAUAUCAAAACAACCCAGAGCUGCAUCCUAUUUGAUAUAAGCUCCUUCUUGCUGAUUUUGCCAAACCUCUCUGUUUAAGUAAAGCUGCAACAACAUGGCUGACAAGUACAAUGAGAUUUGUAAAUAAGUUAUAGCAUCAUGAUGACAAGUUGCUGAAGAAGUUCCAUAUGUGUGCGUAACUACAUAAGCUUCAUUGUCAAAGCCUUCUUCUGGAGUGAACCAAGCUUUAUGGAAUGAACCUAGUUCAGAAUACCAUAAAAAUCAAAUCCUUCUGUUCUUCAGUCACUACCAGAAGAAAGGCUUUAGCCGACGAAAAUAAAAAAACCAGGCAGACGAAUUAUUUUUUCGUCGGUUAACGUGGACUUUAGCCGACGAAAUUUUCCUUCGUUGGCUUAUUUAAAUUUUCGUCGGCUAAAGAAAUUUUUUCAUCGGCUUUAGUCUGUGAACUUUAGCCGACGUCUAUAUAAAAGUUUAGCCGACGAAUACCCUAAUAUUUCGUCGGCUAAACCCUAAACCCUAAACCCUAAACCUUAGCCGACGAAUACCCUAAUAUACGACUUGUUGCGUCUCAUCGAUUUGAAACUAUUUUCAGUUGAAGGUCCAGCCAAAAUACGUAAUUUAGACGGUCCAAUGACCUUUUCCGUGCGUUUAGGGGUUUGACUUAAGGGAUUGACCGUCCGGAUCGAGCCCUUAACCUUGUCGGAUCAAGUUGAAUUUUUUCCCAUAUAUGUAUUUUAUCAUGAUGGUCAGAUCUGAUGGUCGGAUUUUCGUUUCUCAAGUUUGAUCAUCACAAUCACAAUUUGACAUCAGAAUUAAACAAACACUCUUCAAAACAAAUUGAAGGACGAUCCCGUAACUUCCCUCAAAUACAUAGAGUCCGAAACCCUAACUUCCCCUCUGCCAUGUCACCGAUCCGCGUGACUCCUAUCAACUCAUUUUCCACCUUCAGAUUGCACACAUAACCGCCGUCCCUGACCGUCGGAUCGCACUCCGGAGGUCAUCCUCCUCCUUUAGAAAACCCACCUUUUAAAUUCUUGCUCUCUUUCAUUUCCUUCUCUGCAUCUCACUCUCUCCCAGACUCAAGUCUUCGUUUACAAAGAGAGCUCUCAUGGCCACCACUAAGUCCUCCAACGACGCACCGGCACCGGCGAAUCCAGCUCCACCGGCAAAUCCAGCUCCUUUUGGCGCAGCACCUCGAGAAGAUUAAGCAGAGCAGUGAGCUCGCUUUUGUGAAGAACAACUACAUGAAGCCUGACCCCAACGCGCCGCCUAAGCACGGCCGUGGCCGUCCUCCCAAGCCGAAGGUCCCGAGGGCUGAAGGAGCUGCUGCCAUGGUUUCCUCGCCUCUGAGGCCACAUGGCAGGCCUCCCAAGGCUAAGGAUCUGUUUUUCCCGACUCCGAUUGUCCAGAGCUCGACCUCGGGAGGAGGGUCAGGCAGGCCACGUGGCCGUCCUUUGAAGAAGGCCAAGACUGCUCCGGCUAACGCUCCUGCUGCUCUGACGAGUGGUGGUGGUAGUGGUGCUCCUAGAGGGAGAGGCAGGCCACCGAAAGUGAAGCCCUCCGUGGCUCCGGUGGGUUGCUGAGCUCACACUGAGAGUGAAAGUCGUUUAUGUUUUUUUUUCCUUUUUUAAUUUGGGUUAAUUUUAGGGUGCGUUGGAAUUUAGUGUUGGGCUAAUUGAUGGUCUAGCUUUCAUUAUCGCAGUGUUUGUUUAAUUUUCAUGUGUUGUGAGUGGUGUUGGCUUCUGUAUUUUGCAGGUUGCUUGGAAUGGUAAUUUAGAAAUAUCGGGUUUUUUUUUUACUGUAAUGGACUUAUAGCCGACAAAACAUUUAAGAUAUUCGUCGGCUAUAGUAUUUUAAUUUUUUUAUAAGGUUCAGCCGACGAAUUAUGGUAUGUUUCGUCGGCAAUAGUUAUUUUUUUAAUUUUUAAUUCGUCGGCUAUAGUUAUUUUUUAAUUUUUAUUAUAUACUUUAGCCGACGAAUAUCUUAAAUGUUUCGUCGGCUAAAGUCUUAUCUCAGACUAUGGUCGACGAAAUAUUUAAGAUAUUCGUCGGCUAAAUUCUGGGACAAUAGCCGACGACGUCUUCUAGUUUCGUCGGCUAAAGUAAUCGCUGACGACUUUUUCCCGACGAAACCAUAGCCGACGAAUUAAGCUAACAGGCCAACGAAACUUUUUCUUCGUCGGCUAAAGUGCUUGUCCUGGUAGUGAGUUUAAUGGGGUGAACCCAGCUUCAUAAUGCCAUCAGAAUCAAAGUAAAGCUGGAAACCAUCAAAAAAUGAAACUGAUCAGCAAGCUUACAAAUGCAUUGAUCAUUAUCACUAAGCAAGAUUAUAGAGAUAUAAUGCUUCUAUAAGCAAGAAUUACAAAUGCAAAUUACUUAAAGCAUUAAGAAACUCACAAGCCCAUGGUGAGUCUUGUAUCAAUGCCACUCUCUAUCUAGAAAGAAAAACAGUACCUUGGAGAACUUUUUAUCACGAUCAUAAUCAAGUCCAGGAGGGGCAUUCUGUAUGGUGGCUAGGGCUAACUAAGAUUAGACCAAGAUCGGAUUAUUUACAACUAACUGAGAUUAAACCAAGAUCGGAUUAUUUCCAACUAUUGAGAUUUAGCACUUCCAAUAGGGAAAUCAAUUUCACAUAGAUCAAAGAAUACAAAACCAAAUUCAUCAACAUGCUAAUAUGGUCCAAAACAGAUCGUAGUAUUCAUGCAACUAACUGAGAAUAUAAUUGCAUCUACAACUAUUCAAAAGAACAAAUCAUAUAACAUGGCAUAUGAGAUAAUAAGAUCGGUGUCCAAUUGAACAAAUGUCAGAUGGGAGAAUACUACGCCUUGUGCCUGAAAGAGAUGGAAGACUAGAGCUCAAGCAAUUUGAUCUUCACAAAUCUGUGUGAGGUGUGCUGAAGAACAUAAACAAGAAUAAUAUAGACUUAAAGAGAGAAAGUGAAUAUAUGUACAUGAUAAGACGUAUUUGCACACGCAUCAAUUAACCCUGUCAACAAAUCAAUCGUAGUAUAAAGCAAGCAGGGAUCGUUCUAAACCGGGGAUCCAACUACAGGGUAGAUCCAUCUAACCUAAUAUAAAUGUCGAAAUAAGCAUAUAGGGUUUAAAGGUUUGAUGAUUUCGAAAUAGACAUUGGAAAUAAAUCCUAAAUUACCUCUAUACAUAUUUACAUGUGAUCAACCAACAAUCAUGCAAACACAACCAAACAACCAUGCAAGAACAAAGAAGACGAUCUCUAAUCUCAUUUAAGUCCACAUCGUGAGCAAAUACACAACCUAAAUUUGAUAUGCACAUAAGUUCCUACGUGGUUCCUAUGACAUAGACAUACUUAGAAUUAGACUACGGGUUUCAUUCAACAUCGUGACACAAACAAGCACGGCUACGUGCUCUACUUAUAGGUCACACACAUAAACUAAUCAUGCAAUUACGUAUCACAUAAAGAAUCGAUGUGUUUAAGCACAAGUCCAAAUCAAACAUAGGUAGAAAAUCGGUGAAAUAACAAAAACAAUGCGACUUAUCAACUUCUUGUAUCAAAGUCGAACUUUGGAUGAUUAACACAUGCAAUAUCAACUACUUGUAUCAAUUACACAUGAAAAUAGAAGAAUGCACCGAAAAUCUUAAAGUAUAUAGACAUAAAACUCACGGCAUAAAACUUAAAAUCAUUGAUUAUAAAUUGUAAACUUUAAUUCAAAACAUGGCUCAAAAGUACCUCUAUCUCAUAGACAAGAAUCGAAACAUACUUAAGCAAAAACCUAAAACAAACAUAAACAAGAACAAACACAUUAUAAUCCGAAAGUAAAAGAUGACGCGGCUCGUUACCGGGCGCGUAAUUUAAAAACCCUUUUUUAUCAGAAUGUAGUAUUGGCAAAUAGGGUUCGAUCAAUCCGGGGACCUAAAGGGCGCUCCUGCAGUCAUGGUUACACUAAAGAAUUAGUAACAGAAAGUAAUUACAAGUAUUCAGUUACAAAUAUACACAUGGUACAAUAGAUAAAAAGGGGGGGUUUGAAGGUUUGUUUACUAAAUUCCUACGAAAACAGUAGGGAAAAGAAAUAAACUACUAUUUACAAGUGAUCGACUUCCACACUUUCGAAACCAGAUUCCAGAAAACAUAAUCGUAAUCUAAUGAACUUUAAUCACACAAUUGAGUUAUCACCAAAGAGAAACACAGAAGGGUUCUAAAUACAAGCCUACGAGGUCAUGCAUUUAAUCGGUUCUUCUAAAUAGUCAUCCAAGCUAAAACGUCUGAACUUAGAACAUUUUACAUGCUGCUGCUAUCAAUACUGUAAGUAUCUGUCUACAAACAUGCAAAUCAUUAAGUAAAAGAACGAACCCUAACAUGCAAAGAGUUUACGUACGACGCUUAACCAUUCACAUGCAAAACAUGUUCCUAACCAUACAGGAUAUGGCCUCCACUACUGGUGAUCUAUACUUACCAACGAGGCUUAGCACAGAUCAUAGCAUUAGUUAGCAUGCAUUCUAACGUAGGUAAAUCAAACACAAACAUGCUUCCAACGAAUUUCUAAGGCAACUGACUCAAUCGCAUAAUAUCAUUAGAACAAUGAAAUCAUAACUAUUAUUAUCUGAAAAUCACUUAGUUCUCAACAAAGAUUCCAUCCAAUUCGGAAAAUAAAACACAUGGUUCUUAAAUGAAACCUAAAAACAAAAGAAGAUGGCCAGAAAGUACUAGACAUAGAUUUACACUUUUCAAUGGACUGAUUGGCCGAUCAAGAACUUGAGGUCGUGCAAGGCUGUGCUAGGGCUUUAGUACUCCCUAGAACGUCCGAGGCAGCAAGGGCUUCUCUUCUUCUUCUUCUAGGGACUCACGGCAAUGAGAGAAACUAAGAGAACGUUUCUGAAUUUCUAAAGCGUAGGAAGUGAUGCUGAAAACGUUCCUCUCUGCUCCUUUAUAUAGUGGUCAUGUCGACAUAGGGUUUUACUCCACACCAUUGAUUAAAAUCUGAUCCAAGGGCCAUAAAUAAUAGCACAAUAUUUUCAGAGAAUAUUCCUUAGAAUUCUCUAGAAUAUCUUGCACAUUAAGAGUUUGAAUCCGGCUGGAAUUGUGGUUGAAUACAUUGCUUGUUUUCCAAAUUGAAAUCGGCUUGAAUCUCUCCUUGUUAAUUACCGAUUUGCUGCUGAUAAUUCUUCCCAUAUUUGUGCCAUUUAAUGUCCCUAGAAAAGGAAUAUAAAUCAGAUAUAAACUCUAGGAAUAUUAGGAAUUUAUAUGGAGAAAUAAAAGGUAAGAAUUUCCCUUAAUUUCCUUGAUGUUUGCUGCAUUAGCUCCAUAUAAAUUCGGCUGGAAACCCUAAAAAGAUGGUGCCAUUCUCCUCCUUUUAUGUGACAGAAUUUCGGCCUAAUCCAUGUAGGAUUUGGUUUCCUUGCUUCAUGUGGAAUCCCUGUCUCAAGAGGAAAGAAAGUUUCCAAAAGAAUUCAGGAAAGUCAAAAUAGGAAAGAUUCAAAGUUAGUAAGUUUCCCCAAUCAAAAUAGGAAAGUUUCCCAAAAUGAAAUAGGAAAGUUUCUCCUUAUCAAAACAGGAAAAUUUCCUAAACGACUUAUCCUUCUUAAUCCGCCGGUUUUAACUUCCUUUUUCACUUUUCCGCUCUUUUAUCUUUACAAUCAUAAAACAUGUUUAAAAUGACAAUGUUCAGAGAAUAACAUAACUAAAUAAGGUAGGAAAUACGUUAAUAUCGUAGCACUUUGUGCUCCUAUCAAAAGAUGAAAUACACUCUCAGAAUAUCCCUACUUGUUCUAUUCUUCGAGUGAGCGGAACCCUAGGCUACUUGCUUUGGAUCAAGGAUGAUGGUGGGUUUGGAUUAUGGUGUUUGGAGAAUGAUGAAGUUUUGGCAAAGCUUUGGUGUUAUUUUGCACGGGUUGAUGAUAAUUAAUUGCUGCCAUACUGUGCCCUAUUUAUAGAGUAACAAGACUUGAUCUCCAAGAAUUCCUCAAGCACAAGGAAUCCUAUUGAAUCGGCAAAACCAAGUCCAAGUUGGAUUUAACUUCCUCUCUUGUUCUUCAAGUAAUCCUCAUGCAUUAAGGAAUGACAAAACCAUCUUGAACUUGGAAAACCUUCUCUUAGGCCGCACGGUUUCUCUCUCCUUGGUGACUUGGGAAAUCUUCACGGCAUCUCCAUACAUAUCUCGGAUUGUACUUCUCCUAGCUCAAGCAGGAACUCCUAGCUGCUGGCCACAUUUCCCUCAUAAGUCAGGAAAACAUUUCCUAAUCAACACGGGUUUAGACUUUCCUGAAAUAGAAAUAAGAAAAUUAGAAACUAGGAAAGAGGAAAGAUGGAAUCCUGAUCAAGACAGGAAUCCUGAGUAAACAAGGAUUUCCAACACUUAGCACAAUUUCAACACCAAAUUAUUCAAAUCCGAAAAUUCUAUGAAUUCUAAUACUAAAACACAAAUAUAAAGCUAAAACAACUAAAUAGGAGUUAACAAAGGGUAAAUAAAGGGUAUAAACAUAUUAAGAACGUCACACUUUGUGCUCCUAUCAGUACGCUUUCGCUUUGUGCCUGUUAUUCCACCUCAUAGAGAAGGAGAUGGGAGAACCAGGGCUCAAACAAUUUGAUCUUCACAAAUUUGUGUGAGGUGUGCUGAAGAACAUAAACAAGAACAAUACAUACUUACAAAGAGAAAGUGAAUAUAAUAUAUGUAAGCUUUGUGCCUGUUGUUCCAUCUCAUAAUCAUGUUUGUGUUGUCUUAAGCUGCAAUUGUGGCCAACUCAAACAAUUAUACCAUAAACCCGUCAAAAAAUUUGGGGAAAAUCUAUAUAAAAAAAAACCCUAAAAUCCAGAGGAAAAUGGUGAGUGAGUACAUACCUUCUUCGGAUCUCCGAGUCGGGUCCAUGUUCUUAAACUCCUUGUGGAUUCAAGACUAGAGCGCGCCUUCAUCGGAUCUAUCGUCAACAUCCAGUCCAUUUUAUCGGAUCCAUCGAAUUCUAGCGUCGGAACGUUAUCGAUUUCGACCAAUUCUUCGACAACAACCAGAUCUGAUUCUUCGACAACUCCGAGCCCAAUCCCGUCCUUCUUCUUCACCGCCAACAACUUGGCCAGGAUGAAGAUUAUGGUCCUCACGUCUGGUAGGCAGGAGAGAGAGAGAGAGAGAGAGAGAGAGAGAGAGAGAGAGAGAGAGAGAGUAGAAGUGCAUAGAUCCUGUAAUGUGAAGUAGAUGGAGAUAGGAUAUUAGAGGAGUAAUUUUAUUACUGAAGAGUGUUUCAAGCACUAUUAUUUCACAGUCUUACAGCAACCAAAGCAGCCUAGACUCAACAGCCCUAACCGUGCUCAAGAGUCCUAGCUACAUAUAUAGUUCACAAAAUGAUACAAACAAGUUUAUUUUAAAUACAUACCACAACCACAGAUGGUUUUAGUUCUUAGGGAAGUAGCUCCACUACACAACUCAUAAGUAGUAGCAUAACAGGUCUGGGAUGGUUUGUCACAAUGAAACAGCAGAUGACAACUAGAUAUCAAUCGGUGCAGCAGCGAAACAUGAAGAACUUCUCCAUCUCACGACCACACUCGGUACACACCACUUUGUCCGGAAUGUCUGGACCGAACCCAGGAAUGAUCAAACGAGUACAAUGAUGUGGCUCGUGAAGCUGUUUGAGCUGGUUUUUGAGUUCAGGCAAAAAGCCUAACUCAGCAGCUGCAGGUUUCCAGGCCUCAAAGUCGUCAAGCGUGAUAGUAGUCAGGUGUCCAUUAGCUCUAACAGUAUCAGCUGAGCCCAACCACAACAUAACCCAACCAUGGUCACUUCCAUCAUAGCUAAAUAAACUCAUGACCUCUCUCAGUAUAGUAUCAUCGUCUAUAGUCUUGUGGUGCUUAGCCUUUGAGCACCUCAUGCUGUCAAGUCGAGACCAAAAGAACCAGGUGGAUGUGUAAUCAGACCAGUUGCGACUGAGAUUCUCAGCAUCAAUAAUUCUGUUAAGUUUCCAGAGUUUCUCUUUUGAGGCGGUGCUUCUUCCUGCAUAAACCAAUUCCAAGGGAAUACCUGUACGUUUUGCCAUUGUUUGUCAAACAGUUGGUUCGACUGUUCGAACUAAGACUUCUAGCGAUGAAGCCGAUAAUGUCAAGAGUUUAUCCGAUGUGCAAGGUGAAUGGCGUGCAAUUUAUAUGUGAACAGAGAGAUAGCAGACGGAGAACACAGAAUUCUGGGGUGAUGGCGCAUGGCGGGCGGAAUGGAGUUGACUAUUACGGUGUUCUUGAUUCAGUGGUGGAACUCGUUUACGGUGAAAGCAUGACAGUGCACCUCUUCAAGUGUAGAUGGUUUGAUACUAGCCCGCAGAGCAUGAAGACCGAUCAGUACGGAAUAUUAUCGGUGAACACUGCUACAAGUUCUUACGAAGAUGACCCGUUCGUUUUUGCCACAUCGGUAAAACAAGUGUUUUAUCUUGAUGACCUUGCUAAGGGUGACGCGUGGAAAGUAGUCAACCUUGUGCACCCUCGAAACAUUUACCGGGCGGCUACACUUGGAGAGGCCGAAGACCAGGAAGAAGAUGUUGCGUAUCAAGAGCCCAACGCAAUAGGUAUUCCUAACUCCUCUACCGUUCGCCUUAAUAAUUUUAAAGCGGGUCGUUCGGUGCGAAUUCGUGAUGAAGAGCCAAGGCUUAUUGAUGUUGAUCCAAAUCAAGAAACAGACGAAGACUCUGGCGAUGAGGAAAUACAUUGAUUACCAGAAAUUAAUUCUGACACCGAAGAAGACUCAUCGGAUGAUUCCGAUUACGAGCCUUAGUUUUAAUUUAGAAGACGUAAUACAUUAAUUUGUAAUAAAAAAGAUUGUAUUACCUUAUACGACUUGUUGUGUCUCAUCGAUUUGAAAAUAUUUUUAGUUGAAGGUCUGGCCAAAAUACGAAAUUUAGUCGGUCCAACGACCUUUUCCGUGCAUUUAGGGGUUUGACUUACGGGAUUGACCGUCCGGAUCGAGCAGUUAACCUUGUCAGAUCAAGUUGAAUUUUUUCCCAUACAUGUAUCUUAUCAUGAUGGUCAGAUCUGACCGUCGGAUUUCAUUUUCUCAAGUUUGAUCAUCACAAUCACAACAUGCCUACUAAUGUUGUAUAACUUGUUUACCGAGUGUUAAGUAAAUGUUCCGUUUCAAAAACAAACUAUACAUAGAACCUUCAAACGUAAAAAAGUCAUGAAAUAAGACAUGACCAGAAUGGUGAAAUACGUCUACGGUUGAAAAAUCACGGUAUUCUGGUAAAGUAUCGGUGCCGAUAGUUGCGGUCAAUGCAAUUUUCCAUUCUUUCUCCCUAUGGGUAGCCCUAUCUUCGGUGGUUAUUUUGCGUAAAAUUUUUAUAGGACUUGUUGCGUCUCAUCGGUUUGAAACUAUUUUCAGUUGAAGGUCCAGCCAAAAUACGUAAUUUAGACAGUCCAAUGACAUUUUCCGUGCGUUUAGGGGUUUGACUUAACGGAUUGACCGUUCGGAUCGAGCCCUUAACCUUAUCGGAUCAAGUUGAAUUUUUUCCCAUACAUGUAUUUUAUCAUGGUGGUCAGAUCUGACGGUCGGAUUUUCGUUCUCAAGUUUGAUCAUCACAAUCACAAUCACAGUUUGACGAAUGGUUAAUUGUUUUAAAGCAGACGAAUUUCAAAGGUUUAGCCGACGAAUUUAUUGUUUAGCCGACGAAUUUCAAAGGUUUAGCCUCCUCCUCCUCCCUCUCCCUCUCCGGCCUCCUCCUCCGGCCCUAGCCUCCUUCUCCUCCUCCUGCUCCGGCCGGCCGGCCUCCUGCUGCUCCGGCCUCCUCCUGCUGCUGCUCCGGUCCUCCCUCCUCCUCCUCGAGUACAUUUCUAAACUUUAGUUAUAUUUUGUGUUUGCUUUUAUUUUUCGGUCAAUUGCAAUGUUGUGGUGUUGUUAGGAAGUGUAUAUUUGUAUUUAGGAAGUGUAUAUUGUUAUUUAAUAAGUGUAUAUUUGUAUUUAGUAUUUAGGAAAUGUAUAUAUUUGUUUUGUAUUUUGUGUUUGGUUUGAUUUUCCGGUUAAUUGCAAUGUUGUGGUGUUGUUAGGAAGUGUAUAUUUUUAUUUAUGAAGUAUAUAUUUAGGAAGUGUAUGUGUAAAUUUUAGGAAGUGAAAAUGUAUUUAGGAAGUGUAUAUAUUUUUUACAUUUUUUAAAUGAGUUUGCAUUUUUUGAUUUUGUGGCCUUGAUUCAAAUUUAUAUUUUAAAUAGGAUGAGCGGUAAUAUUGGAUCGACGAAGGGUUCGAAGGGCCAAAAGUCCGUAUCGUCUGAGGGAACCUCUAGCAACCCUCAGACAUCGUUUCAGGGUCUCAUGACAGCUAGACAUGAGAGCCUUCUGCAGACGGCGCAGAGGUAGCCGGAGAUGGGCCCUUCAUCAAGGCAGCGGGGCGUCCCUCAUAUCUCGAGGCAGUUGUUUACUCAGACCCAGACGGAGGUGUCUGCACCCCGUAUGCCUGAGAUACACCGGGCGCCCACUCCAGGUCCUACUUCUUCGGAUAGUGGGUCAUCUGGGGUACAGAUGCCGCCGCCUCAUCUAUAUCUUCCGCGGAUGAUACCGGCCAUACCUGUAGUCGAUGACUCAGGGACGCCGAUUUAUCCACUGCCCCCGCCAGUGGCUCCAUCAGCGGCGUACUGGUUCGUGCCUUUUGAUACGCCUCUUAUUUCCGCGAGGGUAUCAUCAUCGGAGACGGAAUCCGUCGCGUCCGCCUCCUCGCCCUUAGGUAAUGAAAGAUGAAUGAUUUGUUUUCUUAUAAUUCUUCGAUUUUAAUAAUCAAUUUGGUUUAUCAUGUGAUAGGCACCGUCGGAGCGAAGCCGACAAAAAAGAAGAGAGGCCCCGUCACAGGGAAGGCUCUCGAGAAGAUCGUCGGUACCUCAGGGAGGAUUGUCAUCGGUACUGAUGGGGAUGGCGACGUAGUAUCGGGCGGGAAGUCGAGGACGUACUCCGGCCGUGUGGGAGCGCUCAUUAGGGAUAGAGUCCCCAUGUUGUGGUCAGACUGGGGCGAGGUCCCGCAAGAGGUUAAGGACAUUGUCCACAACGCGAUGUCGGUGAGUUUACAAAAUGCCUUAAUAAUAUUAUGUAUUAUAGUUUAGAUUUCUCGAAAAACUAAACUAAUAAACGGUUAAAUGCAGGUGUGGUUUGAGGUUCCCGAGCCCUUGAAGAGCAGCUGGGCGGACAUUGUGCAUGGGGGAAGGUACAUUGGGAUUAAUGAAAAAACAAAAUUGUAUGUCAUAUUAAUAAUAUUUCUAAUAUUUUUGUUGUAUAUGUAGGUACAAGGAGUGGAAGAACGAGUUGCGAACCCAUUGGACUACGCACGGGAACGCACGUUCUGCUACCCCUGCUGAGUUCCAGUACAGAGAGUAUGAGUGGCGUUGGCUUCUGACAUCAGAAUUCAACAACCCUCGUAAACAGGUAUUUAAAUAAAUUAAUUAGUGAAUUUGUCAUUAAGCACGUGCGUUUUUAAAUAUUUUACUAAUAGUUUUGUUUUUUCUUUGAAGGCGGUUUCCCGGGCGAACGCUCAGAACCGGCAACGCAACACAAGGAACCAUCAUGCCGGUUCUAGACCGUUCGCUGUCUUCAUGGACAAGGCGGCCAGGGAACAUCCAGAGGUCAACCAGUACGUCUAUACGUACGAGAAGGCAUAUCCUGACUCCCAGGAGGAUAUAGUAAGUAAUCUUUCCUUUUUACAAAAUUUUUAAUUUUACUUAUAUAUAUGUCAAAAUGUUAAUUAAUAAUUUUUUUUCUAUCCAAUUAGGCAAAGGUGAUGGAGGCUAGUGACGAGGUGAUGAGUGCUAUAGUGAGGGAGACAUGGCCGGACACGCAAGAGGAAGAGAUGUCCGAAGCCAUUUCCCGGAUCGACACUUCAGAUCCGAGGGUUGGGGCGAGGAUCAUGGGCACAGCCUUCCCACCGCGAGAAAACAACUUCUACUGCCGGGGUCUAGGAAAGAAGGGUCAGGGGGUCUUGAAGACCACUCCAGGAUUUUAACGAAAGGCAGCCUCGACCAGCAGCAGGACGACUCAGCUAGAGUCGGACGUUGAGAGACUACGGGAACAGCAAGCCUCUCAGGCUGCUGCUCAGGCUGACGCUCAUGCUGCUCAGGCUGCCGCUCAUGCCGCCCAGAUCGCCGAAUAUAGAGCCUAUGCUAGAGCCCUACAUGCCGCCCAGCAGGCCCAGCAUCAGCAGAUGUUCUAGUACUUCUAGGAUUUUACAGCUGCCCAGCUUCAGGGACUUCCACCUCCGCCCAUGCUUGCGCCUAUACAGUUACCUCUACCGCCGCAAUCUCCUCACCAGCAGGCCCCAGAAUCGGAUCUUGAUUUAGACCAUUUAGAUUUUGUGUAGUUGAUACCUUAUAUAGUUUUAUAUGCUUCUUGUUGGUUAUAUAUAUGGAAUUGUUUUGGUGUAUUUUGCAGCUUGCUUGGAAUGGUAAUUUAGAAAUUUCGAGUAUUUUUUUUUACUGGAAUGAAGUUAUAGCCGACGAAACAUGCCACAAUUCGUCGGCUAUAGUUUUUUAAUUUUUUUUCCAUAGGGUUUAGCCUACGAAUUAUGGCAUGUUUCGUCGGCUAAACCCCACUAAAGCCAACGAAACAGACUCUAUUUCGUCGGCUAUAGUUUUUUUGAAUUUUUUCAUUAAAUACUUUAGCCGACGAAUUCUGUCGGCUAAAGUCUGGAACAAUAGCCGACGAAUAUUUCUGUUUCGUCGGCUUAAGUUUGGGAGUAUAGCCGACGACGUCGUAUUUCGUUGGCUAAAGUCUGGAACAAUAGCCGACGAAAUAUAGUGUCUGUUUCGUCGGCUUAAAUGCAUGAAUAAAAGCCGACGACAAAAUAGUUCGUCGGCUAAAGUCUGGACAAUAGCCGAUGACAGUCUCUAGGUUCGUCGGCUAAAGCCAUCACCGACGAGCCUUUCCCGACGACACUAUAGCUGACGAAUUUGGAUAACAAGCCGACGAAAAUUUUUCGUCGGCUAAAGUGCUUGUCCUGGUAGUGAACCUAACUCUGGGCUCAUUAUGCUGGGAGACUUUCUCCCGUUACAUUAGGAGACGUAAUUGAAGAGGGACCCAUGGAUCCCAGCUUAACCAUAUUUAAGGUAUUGGGUUUUAAUCACAAAAGACAUCAGUACAAUUAAGUGUGAUCCAUCCACUUAUAAGUUGUAUUUUAUUUAUCUCUUUUCUGAUGUGGCAUGGGAUCUUUCCUCUCCAACAGAGAAGUUUAUCAAUAACUGUUAAUCUUGGUUUGGUAGAAAAUGAAAGAUGAGAUCAUUUGUUUUCAUGAUCUCAUAAGCAGCAUCUGCAGAUGAAACUAUGAUCACAUGUCGGGAACCAAAAUGAAGCAUCAUGAGUUCACCAUGGUACUUGAUGUAUCCAUUAUAUGCUAUGUUUUUAUACCUUUAAAUCUCGGAUUUGUAUUAUACUUUCUGUCACAUCCUGGUUCUUAAAUUAUUUUUAUCGUUGGGUUACUUUGAUCUUUUACUGUUUUGAGUAACCGUUUACUAUUUAAGGACCCUAGAGUUGACUUUUCGUAAGAAAAUUAUUUUGGAAGAAUUUUUAAAGGACGUCGAUCGUAGAAGACGUUAAUACGAAUAUCCGUAGACAUGCUAUACGUUAAAAUCGGAGUUGGUAUGAAAAAGAUAUGGUGUAAAGACUAAAGUUACUAUUUUUGGUCAGUGGUAUAAAAUGGUCCAAAGGUGGAAAGUCAAAAAAGUAAAAAAUCAGAACUCACCUUCUCUCUCUCUCUCCUCCUUCUUGUGUCUCUCUCCCACAACAGAUUCUUCAUCGCCGUUCGCUACCGUCCGACCGAGUUGGGCGGCAAGGUUGGUAUCAAAUCGAAGCUUGGACAUCCCUUUUCAUGUUUAGGUAGGUUGUUGGCCGUGUCGUGUUGCCUUGAGGGAGAAAUCAUGCCGAGAAGACGAGGCUGUGCGUGGUGGAGUUCAGCUUGAAACUCCCUCCUUCGGCCACCAUCGUCAGAGAUCCUUGUAUUAACUUGAAGCUCUCCUUUCAGGUAGCAAACCCUCAAAAGGAUUCGAUCCAAUUCAGGCUAGGUAAGGAGAAUCAAAGCUUUGAAAUUCUAGGGUUCUUGAUUUUGGGAUUUUCUGUUUUGGCUCGAUUCGCAUUUUUAGACUUAAAAUUGAUCUUCGGGCUAGUUAUGAAAGUUGUUUAAAAUGUUGAGACGAUGAUUGUGUUAAAUUUUGGUGAGCAUUGGAGGUGGCCGGAAUUCGGGCUGGCCGGCCGCCGUUGCCUGCGAAGCAGACGGCAGCGCUGCCUCUUUUGGGUUGUUUUUCAUGUUAUUUAAUUUGUUAUGAUGAGAGGAGUCCAAUGGUGUAAAGUUUAUAAUUUUUAAAGGAGUUUUGGUUAUGUUUGAGAUUUUUCAAAAUUGGUGAACUUAGCGGUUGAUAGGAUAGAAUCCGAUCAUUGGAUUAGUGUUAAUUAAACUUCAGAAAGUUGUUUUAAGGAUUUUGAUGCUUGUGGUGAAGUUUGAGUCUUAUUGGUCUACGGAUGGAGAAGUUGGGCAAGGGUGAAGGAUUUAUAGGCUCACUUUUAUUCUUGCACUUUUUUUUAAAGUAUCGAGUUAGUCUUGAGACAUAAUAAUAUCUAUUGUUCAAGACGUGAGGAGGAUCGUGUUGGGAGACCUCGGAUCGAUGGCAGACAUAGUCGUAUACUGUGAGUGGACAUUUCGGUUUUUAUUAAAUAUGUACGCAUGACUUUAUAAGUUAUCGUUAUUAUUUUUACCGAGCUUAUAUAUUAUAAUUUUGGCUUAUGACUUGGAUCAUAAAUUAUUUGAGAUCGUUAAUAAUUUAUGGAUUUGAGCUUGAGUUAUUAAUUUGGUAUUUGAGUUUUGUUAUUCUUUAUGAUUCCCGGAUUUAAUUAUUAUCGUCAUUAUUUGUUGACCUUGAGAUUUAUAAAAGAUUACCGAAGAUGAGAUUUCCGAUAGGUCUCAAUUUAUAAUUUCCUCGUUUAUUGUGGAUGUUCGAUUUUGACAUUGAGAAUAUUUUAGUGAGUAUUUCGGGUUGAGAAAUUCUUUAAUUUACGAUUUAUACUUGAUAAUUAAGUCUCGCUGAUAAAUAUAGAUUUGAGAAUAUUUUGACAUGCGAGACAUGUCAUUGAAUAUUAUUUUAAUUUCAUAUAAUAAUCUCCAAGUACGGUUGGGAAUCGUACCAUUUGCAUGAUUUUGGGGAAGCUUUAUGGAUUUAAGUGAUUUUGUAUGUUUUUAGUCACCAUACUAGGGUCACUCUUAUUCAUUACUAGCUAUCUUUUAUUAGCGGUCCUCACCAUAGGUGAGUCGAGUGCUUAACGUGGGAUGUUAUUGUAACCUGGGAGGCUCUGAUUGGUUUUAUUCAUUGUUAGCUAGCCAUUAUUAGCGAUUCUCACCAUAGGUGAGUUGAGCAUUUAGAGUGGGACGUUACUAUCUUAUUCAUUGUUAGCUAGCCUUUAUUAGCGGUCCUCACCAUAAGUGAGUCGAACCUUUAACAUGAGACGCUACUAGAGCCUAGGAGGCCCCAAUCGGUUUUUAUUCAUUGCUAGCUAACCAUUAUUAGCCGUCCUCACCAUUGGUGAGUCAAGCCCUUAGCGUAAGAUGCUAGUAGAGCCUGGGAGGCUCCGACCAGAGCCUGGGAGACUCCUCUUAUAUGGUGAUAUCUCUUUCCCUUGUGUAAUUUUUCUCAAGUUGUGUAUUUGAUUAAUCAACGGGGCUGGUUUGUCUAUUCUUAUGUGGUUGCGGACAAUAAGCCGAAUGUUUGAUCAAGGUUGCUUGCAUCAAAGAGGUUUUAAAGUUUAAACAUGGGAAAGUAUCUGAAUAAGAUUUUGUUAAAUUAUUUAAUUUUAUUUUUGUCCACUCACUCUAACUUCUUUUAAUUACUUUCCUCUGGGCCAUUCGGUUUCAGAUGCCCAGUUUGCAGGUUAGCUUAGAAGAGGUUAGGUGUACACGGAGUUCAGCUAUAGUCAAUAACAUAGCUUUCGCUGGCUUCCUUAUCUAUGUUUUCUUUUCUUAUUAGAAUUGCUCUGAUUACCUUUGAGAUUGUUGUGUUCUGGGUGUUGAUGCAGUGCUGGGAGCAGGGUGACUCUAGGAGUUGAGGGUGAUUUUUUUUUAUUAUAAAAGUGUAUGUUUGGAUUUGGCAUGUAGGGUUGUACAUUUUCAAAGGAGGUUAUGGACCCCGCAGGGUUUACUCCGGAUUUCAAGAGGAAAUUCAGGAUGGGUCCUGACACUUUCAAGUAAUUUAGUUCAAUUUUACUUAGUUUGUCGUUUUUCAGGUUCAAAGAGCAAGGAGAAGCAAUUGGAGCAGGAAGGAUUGAAAGCGACAUAGCAAUCCCGAAUUCUGGGCAGUGAGGCUAUGCAGAUCAGCCAACUUCGCCAAAUCACUGAGAGCAACUCAAAUCGAAUCAGAUGAUGAGCCUUAUAGCAUUACAAAGCUACAAAUGUCUUCUUUCUAUAGCAUUUUACGAAUCUCUAUUUUGAUACUUCUAGAGUCAGUUACGGUCAUUUGAAUGAAGAUAGGUCAUAUCAGGAAAUCUGCACGGGUUUGCAUACAUUCAUGGAGAACUCAAGUUCCAUGGCACAAGAUCUCCAAUCCUUAUGCUUCAAUGAAGUUAAUUCAGACGAGGAUGCAAAGAAUACAUGUAUUCCUAGUUCUACAAGAGAUAUUUCAAAUUCCAUAUCAAGAAAGGAGUCUGAUUUCAAGUCUUACAAGGAAACUUGAAGCCAAAGAUGAGCAGGAAAUCUCCCUUAUAUAAGGAGCACGAAUUUCACAAAGAAAGAGCUUCCAGGACGUGACAUACUUGGAGACAGCCAUCAUCACCUAUCUUUCAUCCAUUUUCCCUUUUAGUCUUUUUAUGUGUUUCAUUGUUUUCGUUAUGACUUUUAGUAGCUAAAUCUUUUGUUAGGGCCAUAAUGGAUCCUUAGCAUGACUAUUCGAUGUUUAUAGUUAGAUGAUUACUUUAUUAUUGGAUUGGUGUUGAGUUUUUAAUCUCUAUAAGAAUUGUUGCUUAUUUCAAAAUACUAGAGUCUCACGACCCUUAGGGUUUUGUUUUAAGCUAUUCAAUGCAAGAGUAGGUAGAUGCCAAUGCUGAAUCUUGAAUGCUUCUUGUGAUUAAAAACCAUAGAUUGAUAAGAUAGAUACCAUGUUUUAUUGGUUUAUGUGAGUCCUUUUGUUCUCAUUGAACUUCAUUGACCCUUAGAGAGUAUAUGUCAUACUUAUAAGAAUAGUUGAAUACUGUACUCUGCCAUAAGGUAGUAUUCAUGCUUUGGAGAACUCUCAUAUGAUGGAUUCUUCAACACCGGUUUAGUAGUUAGUAAUCGGUAGACUAGGAACUCGAAUAGGAUUGUGACGGUGAAGUUGGAAGCCCUAGCGUUUGUCCAUCGUUGUUUUCAAAACCCUUUCAAAACAUCUUCUCAAUCAAUUUGCUUGUUUUACUCUUUUCUCAUUGUUUACAAAAAUUACAAAAAUAUCUUCUUAUUUUCUUGUCAGUUGUUAGACUAAUUUGAUCAAUUAGUUAGAAUUGAAAGUUAGUUAUCCAUACCUAGUUGGAACGACCUCGUACUUGCAUAAGCUAUACUGUAAACGAUUCGUGCACUUAUGAAGUUAUUAAAAUUUGACAACAAGUUUUUGGCGUCGUAGCCAUAGUUUCUUUUUUAUUAGCCUUUUAGUUUCGUUUGUUUUUAGUCAUUGUUUUGUUUUAUGUGUAUUGAUUGAACAGUUAACUAUUCAAUUUUGAUUAAGCUAUUGUCCCCAGUGUUCAACAAGCAUUCUAAUUAUCUUCUGUUGAGCAGAUACUAGAGUAUUAUAUGUCAUUGGAAAGCUCUUCGAGUCUAGUUUCCAACUGGAGAAGCAUAUCAUGAAUCCGAUACUCAAGCAAAAAGUUAUUCACAGAAAAGUGGGCAGAGGUCAAAGCUAAGAAGUUCCUAGAAACCUGUUGUUCAAUCACUUGAAUUCAUAAUGGGUGAUCGUGCGUUGGUAAACAAUGAUCCACCAAAGAAGUUGUGCGAGUAUACUGCACCAACAACCUAUGAUGCACCUUUGUGUAUUGUUUUGGCACCUAUUGCGCAGCAAUUUGAGAUAUGCCCUACAACAAUCCAACUUCUACCUAUAUUCUAUAGGAAGGAGAAUGAGAAUCCCUAUAACCAUCUCAAAGGCUUCUUUGCUAUAUGUUCCACAUUCAAUUAUCAAGGAGUCACCAAGGAGCAGAUUCGACUUCGCUUGUUCCCGUUUUCUUUGAAAAAUAAAGCACAAAACUGGCUUAACUCUCUUAUGGAAGGCUCUAUCACCACCUGGGUGGAAUUGUCUAAAAAGUUUCUUAGCAAGUUCUAUCCGGCUCACAAGACGAAUGCAUUAAUCUCUGAGAUCAUGUCCUUAAUUUGCUCAACAUAUAUUGGACUUGUUCCCCUCCAUUUUAUGAGAAAUAAAGACUCGACCUUAAACCCUAAGGCCGAGUCCUGUUGUGCUUUAAAGAUUAUUGUGUUUUUGCACGGGUCUUUGGUUUCAUGUCCUCCCUGUUGUUUUCUCAUUUAUUGUUAAUUAUCACUUUGGUCACGCCUGAUUUUGGCAUGUGUUUUAUAUUUUAUAAUCUUGGCAAAAUCACUUCUUUGACGAACACACACCAUUUCAUUUAUCAAACGUACUGUGCAUUGAAACCAGUGGCCAAUAUUCAAACACUGGCCAUUUUUUUUCCAUGUUACACUAAUCAAUAUUCAAUCACAGACUUCUGUGUUUGAUACUUUUGAGUUAUUUAAAGAUAAAAUUAGAUAAAGAGUGCGGCUAUUGGGACCUCCAAAUUUGCUCAGUAUACCUCUCAUUCUCUCUACACCUCCCUUUUACUUUUCAAUAUAAACAUUUUCUCACUAGACCUCAUUUCAAAUUCCUAACAUAACCUUAGUUAUUUAUUGACAUAUAUUUCAAUUAAUUACCUACUUUAACUCUUAUUCACUCAAUAGACCUCUCAUUCAUUUUUUUUUUACCUUUUUGUUUUUGAACAUCCAUUAUCCCUACGGACCCUACCUUCAUUUUUUGAUUAUUUUUUUCAUGCAAGAAAACGUUUUAUCAUGAACUAUUCUAUAUAUCUUUUUAACUUUUGUUUUUCUCUUCUGUACGUGUUGUUUUUUUUUUUCUGUUUUUUUAUUUUGAAUAGUUUGAUCUAUAUUUUAUACCUCAUAAUAAAUUAUUUUAAUAAAUAUAUAUUUUCUAUAAUCAAUAGAGAUAUAUAUAUAUAUUUUUUUUNNNNNNNNNNNNNNNNNNNNUCACAUAAUCGAUAUUUGAUCAUUGUUUUAGCUCUUAUAAACUAUAUAUAUAUAUAUAUAUUUAUAUAUAUGCUUUAAUAAAAAGAAAUUAGAAAACAAAAAUAUAUAAGGAAAAUAAUAAAUAAUGUAAUCAAUUAUUAUUGAAUUGGAAAGUCUAAAGAGAAUAAAUAUAAUAUUUCCUUUUGUAUAAUUAUUGUCCUUAAUAGUCAUUGUGUAUGAGGAUAUAUAUGUCAUUUAAUAAUUCAUAAUAAAGUGAGGUCUAGUGAGCAAAUUUGGAGGUCCCAAUAGUCGCACUCUUAGAUAAAAACCUAAAAUACUAGACCUCUUUUAAGAUAAAUCCAGACAUAUUUUUCUUUCAUUUUACACUCACUCCACAUAAGCAAACUUACAAUAUAGAGCAAAUGUCUAUAAUUAAUAGUUUUAUUCAUUUUUCGGUUUAUCUGAUUUGUCUUUCAGACGGUAUAAAUCUAAAUUUGGUAUCUUUCUCAAUUUUAGCAUCAAUUUGAAACUCAAUACUGAGCUAAAAUUUAGUUGGAUUUAACUUUGUUAUAAUCAAUUAUAUUCUUUAAUUUCUUACCUUGUUAUUACUAACUUGAGUGUAUAUAUAUGCUAUUAUGUCAUUUGUAAUAGAAUGAUUUUUUUCAUUCAUAAGCUCACAUUUGGUGUCUCUCUACAUAGUUGAAAAAUGUAUAAUUGUAAGGUACACGUUCUUGUUCUUUGAUUAAUUUUCUUCUUUUUAGAUAUAUUAUUAUAUUAUUUCCAAUCCUGAUCGAGAGAACAUUUUACUCUCAACUACUUACAUUUUUAAUGUACCUAUUAAGUAGGACAUGAUAUGAUAAUAUACCUAAAAAGAAGAAACCCAAAAUUGGGUUUAGGGUAUAGGACUAAGGUAUAGGGUUAGGGUAUAGGGUUUAGGGUUUAAAGAUCAAAAUAGCUAAAAUGGUUUUUCAUCAUAGAAAUCCACAUGUCAGAAUUUGAAUGGAAUACACGUCAGAUUUCACAUGUUCAUACGCUAACAAUGUAAAAUUUAUUCAUUUUACUAUAAUAAUCAAAUAUCUUAUUUAUAUUAUAUUUUACCUUAUGUAUAGAUCAGGUAAUGAAUUCCUUUCACCUAAAUUUUUUCAUAAAAAAUAAAGAAAACUGCAUGAUUCUGGUAAAUUGAUUGAAAAAUUUUAGUGUUAGAAGAAAAACUCACAAUGAAGGUAUUUAAGACAACAUCAAUUAAGUUUAUUUAUUAUGUUUAUAUGUUAUAGUUGAAUGGUGGUAAUUGUGUAAAAUUUAGAAAAAAUAGGACAUAAUAUGUAUCAUAAUUGAUACAUUUUAGAUGUCUAUUAAAUAUGAAUAUUAGGUGGGUUUUAUUUAAAAUCACUCUUUAAAAUUGAGUGUAUAUGAAAAUCCCCCUUAUUUAAAUCUACUAUAUAUAGUUGAACCAAUAACAUGAUGAACAUACAAGUCUCAUAAAACAUACAAGAGUUUCAUGAUCUUAUUGCCUUCUACUUUUAGACUUUCUGCUGUGAAAUGGCUGAGACUAGACUACUAGAGUAAAAGAUUUGCUAGCACAAGCUUAUCGGUGGUCAUGGCAAACAGAAAGAAAACAUGCAAAAACAAGAAAGAACUUGACUAAGAGCACAUAUGAAGUUUAACAGCAUGGAGUUUCUGGAUGGAGGGAUCAAGGGAAGUAUGGUACCAGGAGAAGAUAAAGAGGAGCUUUCUUACACACCGUGCAAUGAAGCCUGAAAGAGGGUCAAUCCAUUUCAAAGAAGGGAAGAAAUCUCCGAAACUGAAUGACAUUAGUUCCACCAUGAACCUUCUUGAUGUCUUUCCAUACCAAUCACCAUCUUCUACGAACUUCAUACCCAAAUAGUUUCACAAACGAUACAAUAUCGAUAAGUUUUUGCUAAUAUUUUUGGGCUGAAAACUUAUGAAACGACCGAACUGGUUUGAGUAUCCUAUGAGAUUAUGGCAUCCGAACAAAACGUAGUAGUACACUAGUGUUACUGUGUUAGGCUGUUAGCGAAGGUUCAAGUAGUAGUAGUACUUACGAACGAGAUGGGAAGCACCCAAACAGACACUUUCUUCUACUGGGCUCAUCGAUCUGCCUUGGACUAACCAAUUCCGACGAUCGGUCAUUGAUCUUUCGCUAAAAUGAAAAUGUUCCAUGUCACACGUAUUCUUCUUUCAAUUCAUGACCUUCUGGGCGUCCUUAGCAGUUCCAUUGUGACGAAUACCUUCUGUUUUCUCCAUAUCCCUACCUAUCUCUCCAAGUUUGGGCCUUUCUGUUUUGUUUUGGGCUGUAUCCCUUGAGAUAUAUGCUUUUUUGGGCUAAGCCUUUCUUAAAGUUGAAACUUGAAACUAGGGCACCAACUUCUCCGUCACUAAAUGGAGCUGUCCACUCUGCUCUGGCCUUGUGGAAUAGUCAAUUGUACAGAUCAUGUACGUUCUGCUUUUCCUCCAAGUCUCCAGGUACUGCCUAUGUUCUCUGUUCCAUUCCCAUUGGCCAGGAGUCUCUGUUAGCAGGCAUUGUUAAAAUGGGCAGUAAGUGCACCACUUCGUGCAGUGAAUCGUGAUAAUUAAGUGAUUUUUGGAUCCCUUAGUUUGACUGAGCAAGAUCUUGUUAAAAUGGGCAGUAAGUGCACCACUUCGUGCAGUGAAUCGUGAUAAUUAAGUGAUUUUCGGAUCCCUUAGUUUGACCGAGCAAGAUCUUGUAUAAUCUUUCUGAUCAAAUUUUUUUUUAUCUAUUCCCUUGAAAAGAAAAAAAGAAAAAAGAAAAAGGGGGGGGUAUGUUAAUAAUAUAGAUGUGUAUAUCAAAUAGUGUUUUGGGGGCUUUGAACAGAAUGUUUUGGGAUUUCCACAAUCAUACUGGUUGAAAAAUGACAUAACAUCAAUUAAAAGCCAUUAUUUUCGAAACCAAUCAUGUGGUAACUAAAAUUUAUCAAGGACUCAUGGACUAAUAAUUACUACUUUAAUGACUCAAUUUACCGAUUUAAGGUAAUUUUAUACAUGUUCUACAGGAAAAUUCUAGGGUGAGUUGAUGCAUUGGAUAUAAUAAAACUUUGAAUAUAUUAACGGCUUAGAUUAUUCAAUAUUGAUGACUUGUUUACCAGGUAGCAUGUAAUUUUAUAACUUAUAUAUGAAAAAUAUAAUCAAAAACAAAAACAGAAUUUAAAAAACCCUAGCUUAUUAGAAACAGAAAAAAUGAACAAGUCCGUUCCGUUUCGUUCCUCUACCGAUUUGCACUGAUUUGCUAAGAUAAAACCUAAAGUGAAGGAAAAGAAGAGGAGAUGAAGGAGAAAGAGGUUGGCUUCAUAUUCGUUCUGUGAGAAGAGGAGAGGAAGUAAGAGGAGAGGAAGGAGAAAGAGGUUGAUAAAACCUAAGGUAAUUUGCUCUCUCAAAUUCAUUCGUUCUGUGAUGUAUAUGAGUUUAUCAAAUGCCACAAAUGGCUUCACAUUUGUUUUAUGAAUCAUCAUCAUGUAUAUAUCUGUGGCCUGCAUCAUUGAAUGAGAUUUUUCAUAACAUGGGUGCUCCAGCUCUUCAAGCUGAUUUGGAGAAACUGAUUUAUAUUGAGAUUUGAGAUUAGAAUAAUAGAGAGGAGCCCUAGCCAUGUCGAAGCGAGGGCGCAGAGGUUCCGCUGGGAACAAGUUCCGGAUGUCGUUGGGUCUGCCGGUGGGGGCGACGGUGAACUGCGCGAACAACGCCGGCGCCAAGAAUCUGUACAUCAUCUCAGUGAAGGGAAUCAAGGGGCGGCUGAACCGGCUGUUGUCGGCGACAUGGUGAUGGCCACCGUGAAAAAAAGGGAGCCGGACCUGAGGAAGAAGGUGAUGCCAGCUGUCAUUGUGAGGCAGCGCAAGCCGUGGCGCUGAAAGGAUGGUGUUUUCAUGUACUUUGAAGACAAUGCUGGUGUCAUUGUGAAUCCAAAGGGUGAAAUGAAAGGAUCUACUAUCACAGGGCCUAUUGGAAAGGAAUGCGCUGAUCUGUGGCCAAGAAUUACGAGUGCAGCUAAUGCCAUAGUUUGACUGUCUCAACUCACUUUAGAUUGGUUUUUUUUAGUUGUCCUUUGAACUCUAGAUGAGUAUGCCCAUGUGGUGUUUGAACUUACUAUCCUACAAUCAUGUAGACUCUGAUAGUUAAAGAGUUUUUGUUCUAAAAAAAAUAGGGAGGAACAAUGGCCUUAAACUGUAAGCGUCUUAAGUUGGUAUGCAUUUUGACAGAUGGAGCUUUAAACUUCAAUUGAAAGCUGGAAGUCUAGAACCUUGUAUGAUUGAAACCAGCAAGAAGAAUGCUUGCGAGUGAAAUUAACAUCUUUUUGGGCUUUUCAACCUUGGAUUGACGUCAUACUUGAUUGGGGAGAUGAUGUGAUACUCUGAAAAUGUAGAAAGUAAAUUAUAUAUAUAUAUAUAUAUGAACACACAAAAUUUGAGGAUUUGGUCAAAUUCAUAUCGACACGUUAUAAAUGAGGGUUGGCAAGAAAUAUUUUCGAAAUCGAUGAAUAAUAAGAAUGCUCAAAAUGUUAUUCGAAUUUUCUAUGACAAGAUAAAGUCAGUAUUUAUGAUGGUUUAUGAGAAGUUCUUGUAUUCAUAAGAAUAACUAUUUAUCGGGACUUUCCAAAGCUUAGAGAUUAUGAAAAUUCAUUUAAAUAUCGUGAUAACCCGUAUUUUAGGUAUAAAAUUAAUAGCAAUUUGAGUAACCAUAUGUGGAAUUAGUGUUCAAUUAUGCCACAUAUAACUUUUGUAUCAACUUUAUGAAUAUGAUCGUUGGUGACAUCAUAUGAGUAUAUAUGAGACAAUAAAUAUAUUUUUUGUAAUAAAAUAGAUAUUAUUAAUAUAAAUAACAAAAUAGAAAAGAGAAGAGAGGUCUAGAAAGGUCGGUGUCAAAACUGACAUAAGCCACCGACAUCAGCCCUCUCUCGAGAUAAGAGUGGAAAGGGACUGGAUCAAGGGCGAUCCUUCGGGAAGGAUCGAGCAUCCUCAACCUGAGAGAAGAGGAAGGCUUCUGAGGCUUAUAUAGCUUGAGACCCUUUAACAAGACAGGGAGAAGAGGGACGAGGGGGAUCUGAUUGGGAGGUCCAACAAUUGUAGACUGGUCUUGGCGGUGAGCUCUUAUAUAUGUAUUUGCUAGAGUUUAAUAGGGUAUUUGAAUUCGGUAGGUAGCAGAUAUGAUAAUUGGGUUGGGGUUGUGUGCUUGAUUUUGGCUCAAAAUCGUACAUGGUUGUUUUCUGGAAAUUUGAAAAUGGAUUCACUUUUGAUAUAAUGAUUGUUUGUGUUGGCAUAUCUAGGAAGAAGAAAGGUGUUAAUUUGAUGAAUGGGAAACUAGGGUAUGAUUGCUGAGAAAAUAUGGAUUAUGUUCCAUGAAAAUAUCGAUUAUUUUCGAUUUAUUUGGGGUCAGGCUGUUACAGAUGAGUUGCUUUUCAACUGGGGAGAUGAGUUUUUUCCUUCGAUAGAAUUGGGGAGAUGAGUUGGAGAGAGAGAAGACAUCAGGGAUGGCAAGCCAAAUUGAUUUUCUUAAAAGAAACAAAGAAAAAAAAAAUACAAAGUCAGUCAAAUUUCAUCUUACAAGUUAGACAAAUAUGUAUACCCAUAAAAUAGUAGAUGUGUUGUUAUACAAGUAAAAUGUUAUUAAUAUGAGUAAAUUGUCGUUGAGACCAUUUUGAUGUAAUGAGGAUGUUUAUAUUGUAAAUCAUGUCUUUUAAGAAGUUUUAAGCUAUGUGACGACAUUUUUACAUCGUUUAUCGAUAAUUAAGGUGAAAAUAGUAAUUAAUGUCGAUUUCAUGGUAGUUUUUUGUAUGAGAACCAUUAGAUUCAUAAGUCAACGAAUUGUUUAAAAAGUAGUAAUUAAGCUUUUAUUUGUAGUAAUUUUUUCAAUUACAAGUUCGAGAAUUAUUUUACCAAUCUGACAAUAAAUUGUCAUAAUUGUGGUAAAACUGAUGUACAUACGAUAAAUAAGUUGUUUAUGUAAUAUUGUCUUUUAUCUAGUAAUUAAUACCUUACUUUAUGUAAAUUUUGUUGUGAUUGAUAUAAUUACUUGUAAUACAACGUGUUUUACUAUAAAUUACAACAACCAAGGUAUAGCUGGUAAAUAUAGUCGUAUUCUUGAUAUUACUUAGAAUACAAUCCAUUUUAUGAAAAUAACGAUAAUUUUAUCUCUAGUGAUAACAAAUAUUGUAAAUAUUAAUAAUCAAGCCUAAAUUAUCUAAAGUUGUUAAUCUUGUAAAAUAGUUAUUUUUUAUGUAAUUAUGGUCCUUUUUUAAGUAAAUUACACCAUUCAUGAUAUCUUUAUUACAAAUACCACAUUUAGCGUAUUUAGUGAUAAUUACAGUGGUAAACCAAGUAAUUACAGCAUUUACGACCCUCAUUAUAAGUUUUUGAACAAUUCAUGUAUAACAUAAUUAAAAAGUCCUUAAAAUUGUAAUUUUUUCUACACAUAUCACAAUAUUACUGGAUGACAUGUUUACCUGUACAACAAAUUGUUUAUUUUUAUAUAUUAUUAUAAAAUAGUUGAUGCAUACUACGUAUCAACUCACCCUAACCUUCCCAUAUUCUACAUUAACACGCAUAUGAAAGUUUUGUAUAAAGUUGUUGCAAAGUCAUUGCAUUCCUUGUGCACUCAAAGAUAUUUUAGAACGGAAGAAUUUUCAACAUAUCCUCUUUGACUAUCUCUGUUGUUUAGAGUACUUUUCCUACGGACAUAGUACCAAAAUGAAAUGGAUGAGCACAUGCAUGCACAAGAAAAUGAUCGCAGUUUUUGCAAUUGAGUCGACCUAUUUGCAUGAACGUACUAAACAAUUGAGAAGUUGAUUAGUCCAGGCACUACUAGAAAAAUAUGUACGUAAUGGACACUUUUUGUGGAUACAUUUUUUUAACUACUAGAAAAAUAUGCACGUAGUGGACACUCUGUGGAUACAUUUUUUUAACUGUAUUAUUUGAGUAGAGCAAAUGACAAAAUACUAAAUUUAUGUUUUAUAUCAGUAGUCGCCACUCGAGAAGGUGCAAAUUGAAAAACAAAUGAAUUAACAAAGAAAAAAGGUGCAAAUUGUUGAACUUCGGUGCUUCCAUGGCUUGACUUCUCCGACGGAUGACAACAUGGAUGAGCGUAUGGAGUGAAUAUUGUCAUUUGCUCAGCCCUGGCUAGCUCCACAAUGCUAAGUACAGUAAAACCUCAAUACAGACUGGCAAAAUUUAUUAAUUUAACGAGAUAUUAAUUAAUCUGAUAAAUUAAUAAAUUAUUAAUUUAUUGAUUAUUCAAUAACUUAUUAUUUUAUCAAAAUAUUAUUUAAUUUUUUAAAUAUGACUUUUUUAUAUUUUCAACAAAAAUAAUAUUAUUGUGCAUUGUUCAAUUAAUGUCUAUAUUGUCGAAUUUGUUAUUAUGUUAUAGUGUUUAAUAUGCUACUUUAUUCGAUGUACAACAUUUUCAACAUACAAUGUUAAUUAGUUUGGAAGUACUAUAUAUAUAAUUAGUUUAUUGGAUGAACACUAAAUAAACAAAACCAUAUAAUCACACAUCACAUAAGAAAAACAAAAAUGGUUUCUCAUCUCAAAGGAGUAAAGAAAAUCAACGAUAACGGAUGAAAUGCGUAAAAUAUUGUGCGAGUACAUUAAAGACAAUCCAUGCAUGUAGCACUCAAAAGCAUUUGCAACAGUACGUUUUAGAAAAGUUUGACUUGCAAGUGAGUCUAAUGACGAUAUCAAAUACGAUCAAUGCUGACCUCAAUUUUCAAGAAGAAACAAGUCACAAUUGAGUCUUAGAAAUGAGUCAUUCUUUAUUAAGUCUUAGAAAUGAAUAAUUAAUCAUGUGUAUUAAGGAAUUUUCAACAUAUCUUCUUUGACGAAUAGACACUAUAUUACCAAAAAAAUUGACGGAUACAUGCACUAGGGACAACGUGGAUUGCAAUAUCAAUUGAAACAAUGAGAUGUUUGAGUUUGGAAUUUAAUAUAUAGCAUGGCACAAACUACGACGUAGCCAUAAAUAAUGCAACAAUUAAUCAGACUCAAGUUCAUCAGUCUGAUAUUGACUGAGAAUAUGUAAAUUGAUUUUCUUCGAUCGAUCUCUGUUGUUUAGAGUACUUUUCCUACGGACAUAGUACCAAAAUGAAAUGGAUGAGCACAUGCACAAGAAAAUGAUCGCAGUUUUUGCAAUUGAGUCGACCUAUUUGCAUGAACGUACUAAUCAAUUGAGAAGUUGAUUAGUCCGGGCACUACUAGAAAAAUAUGUAGUGGACUCUUUGUGGAUACACUUUUCUAACUGUAUUAUUUGAGUAGAGCAAAUGACACCCUUUUAUAUUUUUAGUAUUCUUUACUUUAUGGAUACUGAAAACUGUGACUAAAGAGAAAAAAAUGGGGAAGGCUAAGAUGAGUUGAUGCAUGAUAUGCGUCAAUUAUUUUACAAUAAUAUAUAAAAUUGAACAACCUGUUGUACAGGUAAACAUGUCGUCCAGUACUAUUGUGACAUGUGUAAAAAAAUUACAAUUUUAAAAAUCUUUUAAUUAUUUUAUACGUGAAUUGUUCAAAAACGUGUAAUGAGGGUCGUAAAUUUUGUAAUUACUUAGUUUACCACUGUAAUUACCACUAAAUACGUUAAAUGUGGUAUUUGUAGUAAAAAUAUCAUGAAUGGUGUAAUUUACUUAAAAAUGACCAUAAUUACAUAAAAAAUAACUAUUUUACAAGAUUAACAACUUCAGAUAAUGUAGGUAUGAUUAUUAAUAUUUGCAAUAUUUGUUGUCACUAGAGAUAAAAGUUAUUUUUGUAAAAAUGAUCGUAUUCCAAGUGAUAUCAAGAGUACAACUAUAUUUACCAAUUAUACCUUAGUUGUUGUAAUUUAUAGUAAAACACGUUGUAUUAUAAGUAAUUAUCUCGCUCAAUCACAACAAAAUUUACUUAAAGUAAGGUAUUAAUUACUAGAUAAAGGACUUUAUUACACAAACAACUUAUUUACUAUAUGUACAUCAGUUUUACUAUUAUUACGAAAAUUUGUUGUCAAAUUGGUAAAUUAGUUCUCGAACUUGUAAUUGAAAAAAUUACUACAAAUACAAGCUUGAUUACUACUUUUUUAACAAUUAGUCGACUUAUGAAUCAAAGGGUUCUCAUACAAAGAACGACCAUGAAAUCGACAUUAAUUACUACUUUCACCUCAAUUGUUGAUAAACGAUAUAAAAACGUCGUCACAUAACAUAAAACUUCUUAAAGGACAUGAUUUACAAUAUAAACAUCUUCAUUACAUCAUAAUGGUCUCAACAACAAUUUACUCAUAUUAUUAACUUUUUACUUGUAUUACAAUAGAUUGAUUGUUUUAUUGAUAUACAUGUUCUCUAAGCUCGUAACAUGAAACUUUGAAGACUUUGUAUUUGUUUUUUCUUUCUUUUUUCUUAUUUCGUUUUCAUCCCCAACUACGGAUCAAGAAGGCAUUGGAUGAGGUAGGAUUGGUACAAGAAAACACAACAAGGAUGAAAUAUUAUUCAAUGGUAUAGUCUUAAGUUAACCUUAUCUGCUUAGGACUUUGGUUUUCAUAAAAGUAGCCAUCCUAAAUUUAACCUUAUAUUUCACAGUUGUCUUUCAUGAAAUAUUAUGGAGUGCGGCUAUUGGGACCUCCAAAUUUGCUCACUUGACCUCACUCUAUUAUGAAUUAUUAAAUGACAUAUUUAUCCUCUUACACAAUGACUAUUAAAGACACUGAUUAAAUAAAAAGUAAUAUUACAUUUAUUCUCUCUAAACUUUCUAAUUCAAUAAUAAUGCCAUAAUAGAUUGCAUUUUAUUAUUUUCCUUAUUGAUUUGUAUUUUCUAGUUUUACCACAUACUUAUUAAAGUAUUUAUAUAUUUAUAUUAUCAUACAUGUCACAUGCAUAUACAAAAUGAAAUUUUUUUACAAAAAUUAUGAUCUAUCAAUUAUAAAAAAAAAUAAUAAAUAAGUAUAAUAAUAUUUUUACAAAUUAUAAUCUAUCAAUUAUUAAAAUCAUUUAUCAUCAUGGGUAUAAAAACAAAAAAUAUAAACUUACAAAAAAAAAUAGUAUGUGUAAAAUAGAAAUACAAAAAUAACAAAAAUAUAUAAUAGUUCAUGUAAGAACAUUCGUUGGAUGAUCGAUAAAUAAAAUUUGAGACACAAUCCUUGUUUUUUUUUUUAAUAUUUUAAGAGAAUAGUAUUCUACUAUUCUUCAUGAUUCGAAUGAACUUUUAUCGAAAAUUGUUGUCAUUGAAAAUAAUUUCUUACAAUUUGAUCAAAAAAUGAAUGUCUAGUGACAUUUUAUGCAAAAUAAAAAAUAGAAAAAAAAUAAAGAAAUCAACGUCGGGAAUGGAGGUUUGCAUUAAAAAGAAAAAAAAAUUAAAGAAUGGAAGUCGGAAAUGGAUGUUCAAAGGCAAAAAGAAAAAAAAAAGAAUUUGAGGGAUAAGUGAAUAAGAGGUGAUGAGUAACAUAUUAAUAUAUAUGUGAAUUACAUAAAUAAGGCUAUUUUAGGAAUUUGAAAGGAGGUCUAAUGAGAAAAUGCUUGUAUUUAAAAGUAAAAUAGAGGUGUAAAGAGAAUGAGAGGUAUACUGAGCAAAUUUGGAGGUCCCAAUAGCCGCACUCAAUAUUAUGCAAUGGUAUAGUCUUAAGUUUUUCAUGAUUAUAAUGGUAAACCAAGUAAUUACAACAUUUACGACCCUCAUUACACGUUUUUGAACAAUUCACGUAUAAAAUAAUUAAAAGGUUUUUAAAAUUGUAAUUUUUUUACGCAUGUCACAAUAGUACUGGAUGACAUAUUUACUUGUACAACAGGUUGUUCAAUUUUAUAUAUUAUUUUAAAAUAGUUAAUGCAUGGUAUGCAUCAACUCAUCCUAGCCUUCCCCUUAAUUUAUUGAUUAUUCAAUAACUUAUUAGUUUAUCAAAAUAUUAUUUAAUUUUUUAAAUAUGACUUUUUUAUUUUUUCAACAAAAAUAAUAUUGUUGUGCAUUGUUCAAUGUCUAUAUUGUCGAAUUUGUUAUUACGUUAUAUUAUUUAAUAUGCUACUCUAUUCGAUGUACAACAUUUUCAACAUACAAUGUUAGUUCAGAGGUACUAUAUAUAUUAGUUCAUUGGAUGAAUAUUAGAUAAACAAAACCAUAUAAUCACACAUCACAUAAGAAAAACAAAAAUGGUUUCUCAUCUCAAAGAUGAGUAAACAAAAUCGAUGAUAACGGAUGAAAUGCGUAAAGCAUUGUGCGAGUACAUCAAAGAUAAUCCAUGUAGCACUCAAAAGCAUUUGCAACAGUACGUUUUAGAAAAAUUUGACUUGCAAGCGAGUCAAAUGACAAUAUCAAAUACGAUCAAGCGAUCAAGGUGACCUCAAUUUUCAAGAAGAAACAAGUCACAAUUGAGUCAUUCUUUCUUAAGUCUUCAUAAAUGAAUAAUUAGUUAUGCGUAUUAAGAAAUUAUUAAUUUAUAUAUUCAUUGGGUCUAUGUGAAUUCUCGUAUUUGUAUUAUCUUAUAAAUUUAACACAUUGUCCCCAACUUGGAACCUGCAAAAAUUAUUAUUUUAGCGAGGAUAUUAAUUAAUCGAGUAUUAAAUUAUCGAAGUUUUACUGUACGUACGUAAAACUAGUCUCCUCAUACAAUGAUCGGUUUGUUAGCAAGCUGCACGUAUCAGUGUAUCACUAUAAAUAUCAAGGCACCGCGAUAGUUCAACUCACACCGUGAUAGUUCAUCGUAUUACUUAUACACCAAGUAUCGAAGAUAUUUUAAAACAAACAAGUUUAUGACGUAUUAAUUUUCUUUGACGAAUACACUAUAUUGCUAAAAUGAUUAAUUGACAAAUACGUAUACAUUAGGAUAACGUGGAUUGCAAAACUUGAGCAAACAUGAGAUGUUUGAGUUUAGGAUUUCACAUUAUAUUAGGUGUUUAAAUUUAGGAUUAAAUUCAGUUUGCCCCCUCGUGCUUUAGGUCAAUAAUCAGUUUGGUCUCAUAUCUUUUUUUUUUAAUAACGUUGGUCUUUGUACUCUCAAAUGACAUCAUCUAAGUCCAAAAUUUGAAUUUUAGUGUAAAAAUGGGUGAGUUUGGUCCUUGAAAAAUGACUUUUUUCAUUGUUAGAAUGUUUAUUUGCCUUUUUGCCUUAUUUAUAGGUUAAAAAGCUCAAAUGUGGAUCUCCAUGUCAGUUUCAAGUCAGCAAAUAAUAUUAUUUUUGAAGCCAUAUUAAAAUUAUGGACUUAGUUGAUGAUGUUUGAGAGUACAAGGACCAACGUUAUUAAAAAACAAGAUAUGGGACCAAACUGAUUAUUGACCUAAAGCACGAGGGGGCAAACUGAAUUUAAUCCUUAAAUUUAAGCAUGAACAUAAUGAAAAAAAUAAAUGGCUUCAAAAAUGUUUUUGUAUAGUAUAAAGACAAAAUAGUCUUGAGUACUAUUGGAUUUGCAAAUGAUAAGAUUGUAUUUUUACUUAAGAAUGACAUGACAUGAUUUUUUAAAUUGAUGAUGUGUUUAGGUGACAUGUCAUACUACCUAGGAUUAAGGCAAAANNNNNNNNNNNNNNNNNNNNNNNNNNNNNNNNNNNNNNNNNNNNNNNNNNNNNNNNNNNNNNNNNNNNNNNNNNNNNNNNNNNNNNNNNNNNNNNNNNNNNNNNNNNNNNNNNNNNNNNNNNNNNNNNNNNNNNNNNNNNNNNNNNNNNNNNNNNNNNNNNNNNNNNNNNNNNNNNNNNNNNNNNNNNNNNNNNNNNNNNNNNNNNNNNNNNNNNNNNNNNNNNNNNNNNNNNNNNNNNNNNNNNNNNNNNNNNNNNNNNNNNNNNNNNNNNNNNNNNNNNNNNNNNNNNNNNNNNNNNNNNNNNNNNNNNNNNNNNNNNNNNNNNNNNNNNNNNNNNNNNNNNNNNNNNNNNNNNNNNNNNNNNNNNNNNNNNNNNNNNNNNNNNNNNNNNNNNNNNNNNNNNNNNNNNNNNNNNNNNNNNNNNNNNNNNNNNNNNNNNNNNNNNNNNNNNNNNNNNNNNNNNNNNNNNNNNNNNNNNNNNNNNNNNNNNNNNNNNNNNNNNNNNNNNNNNNNNNNNNNNNNNNNNNNNNNNNNNNNNNNNNNNNNNNNNNNNNNNNNNNNNNNNNNNNNNNNNNNNNNNNNNNNNNNNNNNNNNNNNNNNNNNNNNNNNNNNNNNNNNNNNNNNNNNNNNNNNNNNNNNNNNNNNNNNNNNNNNNNNNNNNNNNNNNNNNNNNNNNNNNNNNNNNNNNNNNNNNNNNNNNNNNNNNNNNNNNNNNNNNNNNNNNNNNNNNNNNNNNNNNNNNNNNNNNNNNNNNNNNNNNNNNNNNNNNNNNNNNNNNNNNNNNNNNNNNNNNNNNNNNNNNNNNNNNNNNNNNNNNNNNNNNNNNNNNNNNNNNNNNNNNNNNNNNNNNNNNNNNNNNNNNNNNNNNNNNNNNNNNNNNNNNNNNNNNNNNNNNNNNNNNNNNNNNNNNNNNNNNNNNNNNNNNNNNNNNNNNNNNNNNNNNNNNNNNNNNNNNNNNNNNNNNNNNNNNNNNNNNNNAAUAUAUAUAUAUAUAUAUAUAUAUAUAUAUAUAGCAUGGUAGCCAUAUAUAGAGUGCAACAAUGAGACUAGUUCAUCAGUCUGAUAUUGACUGAGAAUAUUGAUCUUCUUCUCUCUCUUUAGACAUUUCCUAUCGUGACACCAAAAUGAUGAAAUAAUGGAUAAGCGCAUGUGCAAGAAAAUGAUCGGAGUAGUUAUUGGAAUCAAAACCAAUUUGCAUGAAUUCAUGCCUCGCUCUUACAUGAGUGAAGUUGAGUUAAUAGUCCGGGAUUAUCUACGUACGUACGACUUGUCCUCACACAACAGUCGCUUUGUUAUCAGUGUAUCACUAUAAAUAUCGAGGCACCGUGGUAGUUUAACUCACACCAGCAAGCUAACUCUCCCGGCUUUAGUUGUUUAACUAUACCAGAGUCUCAGCUUCCAUUUUUCGAGUGCUUCGAUUCCCCUAGCUAUAAUGGAUCCUCUGUUGGUUUCAGCAUCUCAAUCUCAAACCCAAAAUGGCAGUAGCACUGCAGAUGUUGAACGACGUUCAGCUGAUUUUUCUCCCAGCGUUUGGGGGGAAUAUUUUCUGGCAUAUGCAUAUGUGGUAGGUUAUUUUUGAAGUAAUUUGCAGCAUCAAGCACAUCAUAUGAAUAUCAUAUUUAUCUAAUUACCCCCUUCAAAAUUUUCAUCUACUGUAGGAAACUGCUGAUAUUGAAGCCGACAAACGUGUCGAAGAAGUGAAGGAAGAAGUGAAGAGGGUGCUACUUAGUUCUCCGCCUUCACAGAGAUUAGACUUGAUUGAUUACAUUCAGCGCUUGGGGGUGUCACACCAUUUUGAGGAUGAGAUUCACCAACUUUUGCAGCAAAUUCACAACCAAUACUCAUCUUCUUCUUCAGAUGAUGAUGACCUUCACACUGUUGCUCUACGUUUUCGGCUGCUUAGGCAAGAAGGAUUUAAGGUUUCAUGCGGUGAGAAUCGUUCUUUUUUUUCCAAUUUUUCUAUAUAUUUAACAAUGGAUUAUUUCCUCUUAUUUCUUCUCUUGGUUGAUGAUCAUUAAGCAGACAUGUUCAACAAGUUCAUCGAUGUUGAUGGGAAUCUUAAGGAAUCAUGCGUCGCUGACGUACCAGGACUGCUAAGUUUGUAUGAAACAGCACAUCUAAGGAAACAUGGAGAAGAUUUCCUAGAUCGAGCAGUGUCCUUCACUACCACUCAUCUUGAGUCUGCAGUAGCAGCACCCGGCCGUUUAAGCCCCCCACUUUCAAAUCAAGUAGCUCAUGCCUUGUAUCAACCACUCUGGAAAGGAAACCCGAGGAUAGAAGCUANNNNNNNNNNNNNNNNNNNNNNNNNNNNNNNNNNNNNNNNNNNNNNNNNNNNNNNNNNNNNNNNNNNNNNNNNNNNNNNNNNNNNNNNNNNNNNNNNNNNNNNNNNNNNNNNNNNNNNNNNNNNNNNNNNNNNNNNNNNNNNNNNNNNNNNNNNNNNNNNNNNNNNNNNNNNNNNNNNNNNNNNNNNNNNNNNNNNNNNNNNNNNNNNNNNNNNNNNNNNNNNNNNNNNNNNNNNNNNNNNNNNNNNNNNNNNNNNNNNNNNNNNNNNNNNNNNNNNNNNNNNNNNNNNNNNNNNNNNNNNNNNNNNNNNNNNNNNNNNNNNNNNNNNNNNNNNNNNNNNNNNNNNNNNNNNNNNNNNNNNNNNNNNNNNNNNNNNNNNNNNNNNNNNNNNNNNNNNNNNNNNNNNNNNNNNNNNNNNNNNNNNNNNNNNNNNNNNNNNNNNNNNNNNNNNNNNNNNNNNNNNNNNNNNNNNNNNNNNNNNNNNNNNNNNNNNNNNNNNNNNNNNNNNNNNNNNNNNNNNNNNNNNNNNNNNNNNNNNNNNNNNNNNNNNNNNNNNNNNNNNNNNNNNNNNNNNNNNNNNNNNNNNNNNNNNNNNNNNNNNNNNNNNNNNNNNNNNNNNNNNNNNNNNNNNNNNNNNNNNNNNNNNNNNNNNNNNNNNNNNNNNNNNNNNNNNNNNNNNNNNNNNNNNNNNNNNNNNNNNNNNNNNNNNNNNNNNNNNNNNNNNNNNNNNNNNNNNNNNNNNNNNNNNNNNNNNNNNNNNNNNNNNNNNNNNNNNNNNNNNNNNNNNNNNNNNNNNNNNNNNNNNNNNNNNNNNNNNNNNNNNNNNNNNNNNNNNNNNNNNNNNNNNNNNNNNNNNNNNNNNNNNNNNNNNNNNNNNNNNNNNNNNNNNNNNNNNNNNNNNNNNNNNNNNNNNNNNNNNNNNNNNNNNNNNNNNNNNNNNNNNNNNNNNNNNNNNNNNNNNNNNNNNNNNNNNNNNNNNNNNNNNNNNNNNNNNNNNNNNNNNNNNNNNNNNNNNNNNNNNNNNNNNNNNNNNNNNNNNNNNNNNNNNNNNNNNNNNNNNNNNNNNNNNNNNNNNNNNNNNNNNNNNNNNNNNNNNNNNNNNNNNUUAUUAUUAUAUAUAUAUAUAUAUAUAUAUAUAUAUAUAUAUAAACCUCUUUUAACAUGGAUGCUUAACAUGCAUCUAUGUUGUUUUUGAUUAUCGAUAUCAAUCAGGUGGGAUCUCUCUGCCAUGGAUCCACUGCCUAACUAUAUGAAAAUUUUCUAUGAGGCGAUCUUGAAUGCCUACACUGAAAUUGAAGCCGAUCUUGCCAAGGAGGGAAACUCGUAUCGCAUUGUCUAUUUAAUAGAAGCAGUAAGUCUCAUAAUCUCUCAAGGAGAGCUGACUGAUGAUAAUAUUUAUGGUUCAAUUGCAAACACAUAGAGAAUGAUUAUAUAUGUAUUUUGUUCUUUGAUGAUCAGAUGCAAUGUCAAGUUAGAAUGUACUUGAAGGAAGCCAAAUGGUACCACCUAAAGUGCACACCGAAAACCUAUGAUGAAUACAUGAGGGUGGCACUUAUUACAUCCGGCAUGUUUUUGGUAGAAGCAGCAUUCAUUGUUCCAUUAGCCGGUGAAAUUUCGACAAGAGAUUCCUUGGAAUCGUUGUUCAGAGACCCUGACAAUAUAAUUGUGAGGGCUUCAAACACACUUGGGAGACUCCUGAAUGACAUUCGAAGCCGCAAGGUACAAAUACAUGCAUACAUACAUAUAUAUUUACACACACACUAUAUAGUACUGAAUGAGUAAUAAACCCUGACCAAUUUUGUUAUAUAUGGAAGUUUGUAAUUUGUUGCUGAGUAUUAUACAUAUGUGCAGUAUGAGCAAAAGAGAGGAAAUGAUAUCACAGCUAUAGAAUGCUACAUGAAAGAAUACUGUGUUACAGAAGAAGAAGCGUUCGUCGAACUAAAUAAACAAGUGAAUGAUGCUUGGAAGGAUGUAAACGAAGAAUUGCUCCAGCCUCCCCCAACUGUCCCUAGGCCGAUACUGUUGCUGUGUCUCAAUCUUUUACGAGUAACUGAUGUUAUAUACAAGUAUGACGAUGGUUAUACUAAUGGUGGAGUUGUGCUUAAGGAUUAUAUAACUUCUCUGCUUGUCGAACCUGCUCCAAUGUAGGUUAUAAAUCAACACUCGACAUGUUAUCUUCCAC